rnacentral:lncRNA from 1 species
UUUUUUUUUACUAUAUAUGUUAUAUUAUCAAAAGGUUGUAGGAAAAGUAACUCAAUGCAAUCAAACUCAUCUCUUAUCAUAUGGCCUUUAUCUAUCGAUUUUGGCUGGCCUAGAAGGAGGGUCGACCUAAUUGUUCUUUUGAACAAAAUUUUAAGAUAGUAUAAAUAUUUUGUACUGUAGACAGCUUGAUGUAACUACUAUGUGUCAUGUAUAUUUUUGUAUAUCUAGAAGAUCAAAUAGUCUUGUACAUUCUUCUAAACUGAUUAUGAACUAAAUUUAGGGUUACAACAGUGAUACUUUUCACUAGACUUCUUGCUAUUAUUGUUGUCGUCUCAUUAUUUAUUUCUAAGUGUUUUGUUCAAUAGACAAAGUAACUCCCGCUAUUCCAUGGAGAUGUGCGUAGUAGCUAUUUUUUUUAUCUCAAGUGUGAAUUGUGCAUAGGUCACAUAGCAUUGAGAUUAUGAAAGUCAAAGGCUCUAAAUCAGCAAGUGACUUCUAAUAAUCAAAAUAUCAUUUGAUCAACUGUCUCAUGCUUAAUUUUUGAAUGUAUUAUAAUUUCUUCAUUACUUGUCUACAGCAGGAAAAUUCUUCUAUUAUUUCACUGGACAAAUUCUUUGAUAAAAACAAGGUCUUGCUUUGGACCAUAUAACGAUCAACGACUUCACUCAAUUAUUUUAACUUCCCCAAUUGAUACUAUUAUUUAGGGAAACUGGUAACCAAAGUAACUUCAACGGAGGUAGAUUUGUCCUCUAUUUCGUCUUUACAAGGAUAGGAGCCGCCAUCAAAUACUCCCACAAAAAAGGCAAGCUUAAUUUAAGAGUAACACAACUCUUCACUGAACAUUUUGGUUAGAAUCAAAAGGUAACACGUGUAAUGGAACUUUAUAAGCUUUCUUUGCGUUGAACCAGCGCGAAGCUCGGCUACUCAUACUAGUAAGUUAAGAAGGGGGAGAAUUACAAGUUGUCACACCUCCUUUUUUUCGAGGGAAUAGGGGAUUUUUCAAUCAAAGUGAUAUUAUUUGAAAUGAGAUUAUAUCUAAUUCAGAGUCGCCACUUGGAAUAAUUUAUGGUAUCACAAUUCACCGAUUAAUUUUUAAUCCCAAAUCGAGGAAAUUGACUCUGUUUUAAAGUCUGCGAAACCAGAAGACCGAGUAAGGAAUUCUGCUAACUCGAGAGAAGGUGUAAGGUACUCCCGAGUUUCGUGAUUUUAGCACGGUCGUUCAACUAUCAAUAAUUGGUCUGAUUAUCUGAUUUAAUACAUAUUUAAACUUAUUUUGCAUUUUUGACUUGCUAAUCACUUUUAACUAAUUAUGGAAAUGCUUUGAGUAUUUAUGAAAUUUAUUUAAAUAAGUCGCGAUGUCGCGCACUUAUUGUUUUUGAUCACAUUGCGAAUCGCGUCACGUGAAAUGCACCAGCGAUUUAUAACAUGUUUAUUUUAUAAUUAUUUGAAGUUGUAAAUCAAGUCACACGUACACCUGAAUUUGGGAUUACGUAUCAUGACUAAUCCACGAGAACCAGAACCCAUAGUCACGAUAAUUUAUUUAAUUAACGCGCUUAAAGCAAGCUACGAUGUUGAUGUGCUGUUCAUUUUCCUAAACUACUUUGAGAUUAAUGUGAUACCAAAUUUAUGGACAAAAUAUUACUGGAGAGUAAAUAAGCUAGCUAACAUGAUCUAUUAUGGCCCAUUCUUAUUAUGAAAGAAACAACUCCAAUUUUUCCAUCUAUCCAAUUAAAUAGCUCACUUAAAUCACCAAUUCAACAUGCUAAAACAAAGGCAACAUAACAUAACCAUAUAGGUAAGAAAACUAAAUCAAAAUCCAUAGCGUAUUUAACAGAAAUCGUCCAACCAAACUUACAUGAUUCUGGUGAACAGGCACGACGGGGGCCCAAACGGUUUUUUUUUGUUUUGUUUUUCUUUGGUGGAGUCUGUAUUUAUUCCUUAUGUCCCUCCCCGCUGUUUCUAUCAGCAGUGGCUUCCCUUGGAGAAUUGUGCUCUAAUUCAGUGGAGUCAACACAUUUCCUUGUUGUCUUUUCAUUAAUCAAAGACACUUUCGACAGAUUCUUUUUCGUUUUUCUUGUGUCCGUUUCUUAUCUGUUUCUUGGGUGUGUGUGUUUGUGGCUGAUUUCUCUUGUGAAGAAGGGGUGGGGUGCUGAAGCUUAGAGGAAUUAUAGGGUAGUGGCCGAUUUUUGAGUUCUGCUGAAGGGUCCAAAGGGAUCCUCUCUUGGAGGGGGUGUCUGCUCUAGAGUCUUAAAGAUUAGGUUUUAGUUUGUGUUAUAUUGAGAUUUAUAUUUGGGGUGUUGGAAUAAAUUGGGGCCCUUGGAUGAAAGCAGAUCAAUGACAAUGAUUAAGGGAGGGGUUUGAUAGGUGAGAAAAAGGUUUGGGCAAAAAGGAAUUGGGAAGAAUCAGUCUUUGUCUUGCUGGGCCACUAAAAUCCGAAAAUUAGCUUCCAAUUGACCCAAAUUCAAUUCUUCCUCAUUGAACAAAAAUAAAAAUAAAAAUAAAAAUACUACCAAAAUAUACUAAUUAAUCUUAGUUAAUGAGAAUAAACUAUUAAAGUGAACUAUAUAUUAAAAUAAAAAUAUUUUUGUUAUUUUUUGAAUGUUAUAAAAAAGUAGAGAAAACCAUGUUAAUGUAAUGGUAAAAAAAUUAAAAUGUUAUCAUUAUAAAAUACUAAUAAGCUUAAAUAAAUAAAAAAGAUAAAUAAAAAAGAUAUAUAAUAAGAGAAGAAAUAUUAUAAAACUAUUUUUGUGUUUUUAAUAAACUUUUGUUUUAAAAUUAAAAGUUGACUUAAGUCCUAUUAAAAUGAAAAUAAAUAAAUAUUUUUAAAAUACUACUUUUAAAAGUUGCCCGGAUAAAAAAAUUACUUUCUUACAGCUGCCACUCUUUGCUUGGAAACACGAAGAGUUUUCGAAGCAAAGAACAAUAAGCAACAUAAUUGAUUUAUGACCCGACGCUUAUUCCAAACAAAACAAGGAUGGACAAAAGAUUGUAACUGAGCUCUGUUAUCUGAGCUGCCUACAUAUCCUUGGCUAUAAAGGAAUCAGGCCAUGUGUAGUUCAGAGAGAUCAAUGGUAUGAUGAGUUCGAGAGUCAAGUGAGGUACCGUUCGAGGCUCUGGUCCGCGGUCCUGUUAUCACAUCAAAAUCAAAAUCUAAAAGAACUACACAAGCCUAUCAGCUAUGAAUUACAAGACUCCUAUCUAUAAAUCUUCUAAAACUUGAUCUUGAGUCUUGAAUGUUUCUUCAUGCAGACUUUGAUCUGAAUCUUGAUGCUUGUUAGCUGCAGGUGCUAGUUCAUUCCUCUAUGGUUUCUUCGAAUCAAGAUCGGACAUGCAAAACUCGUGACUUUAGUCAUGUCUUGAGCAAUCCACAUUUCAUCCGCUUCUGCAUUUUGGAUUCACUUCUUUUCCUUUUCUUUAUUUGGAUUGAGACUUCUUUUUGGUCAUCUGAAUCCUGUGCAACGAGGUAAAAACCUGCUCCGAUACCAAAACAAAUGAACGAACUAAAUUUUCUGUCCCAGUUUUCACUAGACAAAUUUCGUGAGUUAUUGAAAAAAUUGUAAAUCACCGAUGCUAUUGAUGAAGGAUGUGAUGAUGAGAGUAAAACUAAAGACUCGACUAGGAUAUGCGUCUCCUGUGAGAUUGAGCUUAAGGAAAAUGAUAAGCUGAGCUUUACUAAACUAAACAUUGACCCUAUUUUCCAAGCGAGACCCAUAAACUAAAGAAACAAUAUAGAUUAACAACUUAAGAAAACUAAAAACUGACCCUAUUUUCCAGGCGGGACUCCUGAACUCGAGGACAACUAAAGAUUAACAACUUAAGAAAACUAAAAUUGACCCUAUUCUCUAGGAGGGACUCCUUAACUUAAAGAAAGCUAAAGAUUAAUAACCUAAGGAAAUUAAUGUUACGACCCGGAUUUCCCACCUCGGGAGUCAUGAUGGCGCCUACUCGUGAAAGCUAGGCAAGCCGCGUAAUAUAGAAUCACUAACUCUUUUAUUUAGCCCUUUUAACAAUUUAAAUUAAUAUGCGAUCAACAGUGAAAUAUUAACGAUAAAUAAAUACAUGCGGAAGACUUAAUCUGAUAACUUAGCCAAACCAGUAUGACAAUACCAACAUACAUCUCUACCCGGAAUCCGGUGUCACAAUAUCAUGAACCAACUACGAAUACUACAUACAACUAUCUGGAAAGAAAGGUACAAUCUGUCUCUGAAGUAAUGAAAAUAGAAUACAUAAAAAGAUAGAAGAGAACGUCGGUCAUGCGGAAGCCUGCAGGACUACCUCGGGAUCUCUAACUAGACUGAAGGUAGCCACCCAAAGUACGGUCCAAAAGCUAUCGCUCCGGGAUCUGCACAUAGUGCAAAGUGUAGUAUCAGCACAACCGACUCCAUGUACUGGUAUGUGCCUGGCCUAACCCCGGAGAAGUAGUGACGAGGCUAAUACCAUACUACCAAAUGAACCUGUGCAGUUAUAUAAUAUGCAGCGGAAAAUAAAACAAGAAUAAACAAGUAAAAAUGGGAGGGGGUACAUGCUGCGAGGGAAUAUCAAUACCAAUAGUAAAUUAAGAGAAAAGCAUAAAGACAAUCUAGAAUUUACAGCAAAACAAUAAGGAACUCGUAACCAAUCCAUAAACACUUUGUAUUAUCAAUUGUUGCGGCACACAACCCGAUCCCAAAAUAUAAUAACACUGUUGCGGCGUGCAACCCGAUCCAUAUUAUUUAUCACUGUUGCAGCGUGCAACUCGAUCAAAUUAUAUUAUUGUUGCGGCGUGCAACCCGAUCCAAUUAUAUCAUUAUUGCGGCAUGCCAUCUGAUCCAAGCAUAAUAUUGUUGCGAUGUGCAACCCGAUUCAAUAAUAAUAUUAUUGCAGCACGCAACCCGAUUCACAUAUACAGUUCAACACCAAUCACAACAAGAGUCCCGACAAGGGAUCAAUAAAGAAACAAUACUAACCCGGCAAGGCAAUCGACAAUACAAGUAAAUACGUCCCGGCAAGGAAAAAUCGGCUAUAACCAAACUUGUUCCAAUAUCUAACUACCUCAACUAGCACCAAUACUCAAUCAUAAGUAAUUUCCAUGAGAAUAAUCAUAAUCCUUGCUCAACACAGAGAAUCAAGAACUUAGGCAUUCGUAGCAUUUAUUAAGAACACAACAAUUCCAAUUUAAGACUCACGAUCAUGCUUGACACUAACGUAUAGGUACUCGUCACCAUGCCUAUACGUCGUACUCAACAAGUAACAUUUAGCAAAUAGGACACAACUCCUAAUCCCUCAAGCUAAGAUUAGACCAAACACUUACCUCGAACUUCCAGGGCCAACUCAGCUCAAUUAUAGGUUUUCUAUCAGUUUCCCCAAAAUGUCAAAAAUCGACCCCAGGUCCGCUGGGUCAAAACACGAGGUUCAGACCAAACCCCUAUCACCCAUUCACCCACGAGCCUAAAUAUGCAAUUAGUUCCGAAAUCCGACCCCAAAAUGAGGUCUAAAUUUCAAUUAUACAAAAGCCCUAACUCUACCCAAAUCCCUAAUUUUCUAACCUUAAGAACAUGAUUUAGGCCUAGAAAUCUAAUGGGUGUUGAUGGAAAUUGAAGAAAACGAGUCUAAGAUUACAUACCUAUGAAUUUGUGGUGAAGUUCUCUUUCAAAAAUCGCCCAAUUUGGAGUUUGGAAGAAGAAGUUAUGAAAUUUUGAUUUGAUCCCGAGUGUCUUGUUUACUGUUUAAAAAUUGCUGGGCAGGCCUUCAUCGCGUUUGCGAUAGGCCUGUCGCGUUCGCGAUGGGUCAGGCUCAAUUAACCAUCAUUCGCGAUACAAGGCUCGCGUUCGCGGAGCUUCAGCCCCUGGAGCCUUCGCGUUCACGGUCGUGUGGAGGCGUUCGCGCAGAGUAAAAUUCCCCUCCUGCUGCCCAAAAGCCUUUGCGUUCGCGAUAGCAGGACCACAUUUACGAAGGGAAACACCCCCAAAGCUUCGCGUUCGCAUCCUGUGUCUUGCGUUUGUGUAGAAGGAAGUUUCCUUCAACCUGACUUACCCUUCGCGUUCGCGAGAGUCCUUCCGCGAACACGAAGAACAACACACCAGAACACCAGAAACAGAAAACCUGCAAUUUUUCCCAAGUUUAAAACCUCCGAAACCUAUCCAAAACUCACCCUAGCCCUUGAGGAUCCAAACCAAACAUGCAUACUUACUCAAAAACGUCAUAUGAACUUAUUCGUGCGAUCAAAUCGCCAAAAUAAUCUAUUAAACAACGAAUUUAGCAUAGAAAUCUAAGAAAAAUCUCAAAACAUCAAAAGUAUCCAUUUUCACAACUAUGGGUCCGAAUCACCUCAAACGACUUUCGUUUCUUAUCAAAUUUCACAGACUCAUCUUAACUCAUAUAUAAGACCUGUACUGGGCUCCGGAACCAAAACACGGGCCCGAUACCAUCAAAUUUCAAAUGCAUUUCAUUUCCAAAACUCAUAAAUAAUUCCAGAAAAUAGUUUUUCUUUAAAAAUCCAUUUCUCGGGCUUGGGACCUCGGAAUUCGAUUCUGGGCAUACGCCUAAGUCCCAUAUUUUUCCAGGACCCUCUGGGACCAUCAAAUCAAGGGUCCGGGUCCAUUUACCCAAAAUGUUGACCAAAGUCAACUUAAAUCUAUUUUAAAGUCAAAAAUUCAUCAUUUUUCACAGAUUUUCACAUAAUGACUUUCCGGCUACGCUCCUUGACUGCGCACGCAAAUCGAGGUGAUACUGAAAGAGGUUUUUAAGGCCUCGGAAUGCAGGAUUUAUUUCUAAAACAAGUUAUGAACUUUUGGGUCAUCACAUUCUCCACCUCUAAUAUAACCGUUCAUCCUCAAAUGAACAUAAGAAGGAAGUACCUGAGUCGGGGAAAAGAUGGGGAUAACGGCUCCACAUAUCGGACUCAGACUCCUAGGUCGAUGCCUCAGCAGGCUGACCUCUCCACUGAACACGAACAGAAGGGAAAUUUUUCGAUCUCAACUGACGAACCUGCUGGUCUAAAAUAGCUACCGGCUCCUUCUCAUAAGACAAGUCCUUGUCCAACGGGACAGUGCUGAAAUAUAACACGUGGGAUGGAUCGCCGUGAUAUUUCCGAAGCAUGGACACAUGAAAUACUGGAUGCACGACUGAUAAGCUCAGCGGCAACGCAAGUCAGUAAGCCAUCUCUCCCACUCGAUCAAGAAUCUCAAACGGGCCAAUGAACUUAGGGCUAAGCUUGACCUUCUUCCCAAAUCUCAUCACACCCUUCAUAGGCGACUCUCGAAGCAAUACUCGCUCACCUACCAUGAAACCCAAAUCACGAACCUUACGAUUGGCAUAACUCUUUUUCCUACACUGAGCUGUACGAAGCAUAUCCUAAAUAAUCCUGACCUUGUCCAAGUCAUCCUGCACUAGAUCUGUACCCAACAAUAGAGCCUACCCCGGCUCGAACCGUCCAACUGACGACCGACACUGCCUACCAUACAAAGCCUCAUAAGGAGCCAUCUGGAUACUUGACUGGUAGCUGUUGUUUCAGGAAAACUUUUUAAAGGCAAAAAUUGAUCCCACGAGCCUCCAAAGUCAAUGACACAAUCUCGGAGCAUAUCCUCCAAAAUAUGAAUAAUCCGCUCGAACUGCCCGUCCGUCUGAGGAUGAAAUGCUAUGCUCAACUCAACCUGUAUGCCCAACUCUCGCUGAACUGCUCUCCAGAAAUGUGAGGUAAACUGUAUACCUUGGUCCAAAAUGAAGGACACGGGCACACCAUAAAGACAAACAAUCUCCCGGAUAUAGAUCUCAGCUAACCUCUCUGAAGAAUAGGAGAUUGCCACAUAAAUGAAAUGUGUUGACUUGGUAAGCCUAUCAAUAAUAACCCACACUGCGUUGAACUUCCUCCGAGUCUGUGGAAGCCCAGCAAUGAAAUCCAUAGUGAUUCGCUCCCACUUCUACUCGGAAAGCUCAAUCCUCUAAAACAAACCACCAGGCCUCUGAUGCUCGUACUUAACCUGCUGACAGUUCAAACAGCGAGCCACAUUUGCAACAAUGUCCUUCUUCAUUCUCCUCCAUCAAUAAUGCUACCGCAAAUCCUGAUACAUCUUUGCGGUGCCUAGAUGAAUAGAGUAGAAUUAGCUAUGGGCCUCCUCUAAAAUCAACUCUCGGAGUCCAUCCACAUUAGGUACACAAACUUGACCCUGCAAUCUCAAAACUCCAUCAUCACCUAAGGUAACCUGCUUGGCACCUCCAUGCUGCAUCGUGUCUCUAAGGACACACAAAUGGGGAUCAUCAUACUGCCGAUCACAGAUACGCUUCAAUAAAGAAAAAUGAGCGACCGUGCAAGCUAACAUACGGCUGGGCUCAGAAACAUCCAAUCUCACGAAAUGAUUGGCCAAAGCUUGAACAUCCAAAGCAAGCGGUCUCUCACUGACCGGAAUGUAAGCAAGACUGCCCAUACUGGCUGACUUCCUACUCAAAGUAUCGGCCACCACAUUGGCCUUUUCCGGAUGAUAUAAGAUGGUGAUAUCAUAGUCUUUCAGUAGCUCCAACCACCUUCUCUGCCUCAAAUUUAGCUCCUUCUGGUUGAACUAGUACUGUAAACUCUUGUGAUCCAUGAACACCUCACAUGCCACACCAUACAGAUAAUGCCUCCAAAUCUUCAACGCGUGAACAAUGGCCGCCAACUCCAAAUCAUGAACCGGAUAGUUCUUCUCAUGAAUCCUCAACUGUCGCGAAGCAUAGGCAAUGACCUUGCCAUCCUGUAUCAACACAGCACCAAGUCCAAUACGAGAUGCAUCACAAUAAACUGUAUAAGACCCUGAACCUGUGGGCAAAACCAACACCGGUGUCGUAGUCAAAGCUGUCUUGAGCUUCUGAAAGCUCGCCUCACACUCGUCUGACCAUCUGAAUUGGGCACCCAUCUGGGUCAAUCGGGUCAUCGGGUCUGCAUUAGACAAAAACCUCUCCAUAAACUAAUGAUAGUAGCCUGACAAUCCCAAGAAACUCCGAAUCUCUGUAGCUGAUGCUGGUCUAAGCCAAUUCUAGACUGCCUCAAUCUUCUUCGGAUCAACCUGAAUACCCUCUACGGAUACAACAUGACCCAGGAAUGCAACUGAACUCAACCAAAACUCACACUUCGAAAACUUGGCAUACAACUGACUAUCCAUCAAGGUAUGAAGAACCACUCUAAGAUGUUGCUCGUGCUCCUCCCGGCUGCAAGAAUAGAUCAAAAUAUCAUCAAUGAGGACUAUCAUGAACGAAUUCAAGUAGGGCCUAAACACUCAGUUCAUCAAAUCCAUAAAAGCUACUGGGGCAUUUGUCAACCCGAACGACAUCACUAAGAACUCAUAAUGCCCGUACUGAGUGCGAAAAGCUGUCUUAGGGACAUCGGAUGCCCUAAUCCUCAACUGAUGCUAGCUAGAUCUCAAGUCAAUCUUUGGAAAUACUUUGGCACUCUGAAGCUGAUCAAACAAAUCAUCAAUCCUCUGCAAUCAAUAUUUAUUCUUGAUUGUAACCUUGUUCAACUGCCGGUAAUCUAUACACAUUCUCAUCGAUCCGUCCUUCUUCUUAGUAAACAACACUGAUGCACUCCAAGGCGAUACACUAGGUCUAAUGAAGCCUUUUUCAAGCAAGUCUUGCAGCUGCUCAUUCAACUCUUUCAACUCAGGUGGGGCCAUACGAUAUGGCGGAAUAGAAAUGGGCUGAGUGUCCAGAGCCAAAUCAAUGCAAAAGUCAAUAGUCUUUUCGGGUGGCAUACCCGGCAGGUCUGAAGAAAAUACCUCAGUGAACUCACGAACAACCGGCAUAGAAUAAAUAGAAGGAACCUCGACACUAGAAUCACGAACAUAUUCCAGAUAAGCCAAACACCCCUUCUCGACCAUACGCCGAGCCUUCACAUAAGAUAUGACACUACAGGUAGAAUGACUAGGAGUCCCUCUCCACUCUAAACGAGGUAAACUCGGCAAGGAUAAGGUCAUAGUCUUGGCAUGACAAUACAAGAUAGCAUGGUAAGGUGAUAACCAGUUCAUCCCUAAUAUGACAUCAAAAUCGACCAUGUCCAGAAGUAAUAAAUCUACACGAGUCUCAAGACCCCCAAUUCAACUAUACAAGAACAAUGGACUUGAUCUACCAUAUUAGAAUCACCCACCGGUGUAUACACAUAUACAAGGGCACUCAAGGAAUCACUAGGCAUGACCAUAUACGGUGCAAAAUAAGAUGACACAUAGGAGUAUGUAGACCCUAGACCAAAUAGGACUGAAGCAUCUCUACUACAAACCAGAAUAGUACCUGUGAUAAUUGCAUCAGAAGCCUUAACCUCGGGCAUGGCUAGAAGAGCAUAACAUUGGGGCUGGGCCCAACCACCCUGAACUACAUCUCUGGGAUGGCCUGCUACUGGCUGGCCUCCACCUCUAGCUGUCUGACCUCCACCUCUAAUACCUCUACCUCCAUCUCUAGCACCUCUACCUCCACCCCUAGUUGGUAGAGCGGGCGGUGGAACACCUGGUGCCUAAACCAUAGCAUGGGAACCCUGCUGCUAUGACUGAGUACCCACAAAUCUCGGACAAGCCCUCCGGAUAUGACCAUACUCACCACACUCAAAGCAUCCACCUGAGUGUUGCGGUUGAGGAAACUGAGACUGACCCUAGCAACCUGAAUGACCACCCUAAAAACUCUGGAGUGGUGGUGCACUGAUAGGAGCUGGCGGUGCACUGUAAGGCUGCUGAUCUGAAUACUGCAUAUGAGAACCACGACCGCUUGAAACGCCGUGAGAAAUCUAGAGUGCUGAUUGAAAGGGCCUAAGAGGAUGGCCUCUACUAUACGAAUCCCUGCCUCCAGACGUGGCACCACUGAAUCUGCCUGAAUGAUGAGGCCUCUUCUUAGAACCCUGACCACCUCCCAAGAACAGAACCAUCUCCACUCUCCGGGACACAUUGGCCGCCUUCUGGAAAAAAAUCUCACUCCCUUUAUCCUUAUCCAUCUGAAGUCGAAUCGGCUGAAUAAGUCCCUCAAUAAACCUCCUCACCCUCUUUCUCUCGGUGGGAAGUAUGAUAAGAGCAUGACGGGCCAAGUUGAUAAAUCUGGUUUCAUACUAAGUAACAGUCAUAGAACCCUGCUGGAGACGCUCAAACUGCCUCCGAUAGAUCUCUCUCUGAGUGAUCGGGAGAAACUUCUCCAGAAAUAGCUGAGUAAACUGCUCCAAAUCAAACCUGGUAAUCCGGUUGGUCUAGCCAAACAAUAAUCUCUCCACCAAGUCUUGGCGGAUCCAGACAAGUGGAAAGUAGCAAAGUCUACCCCAUUGGUCUCCACUAUCCUCAUGUUCCUGAGAACCUCAUGACAAUUGUCUAGAUAAUCUUGGGGAUCCUAAGAAGAUGCACCGCUGAAAGUAGUAGUAAAGAGCUUGGUGAAACUAUCCAAUCUCCACAAAACAUCGGCAGACAUAGCUGCUCCAUCACCAGUCUGAGCUACCACACCCGGCUGAACUGCUCGAACUGGCUGAACUGCUGGAGUUUGAAACUGGGGAGCCAUCUGCUCAGGAGUGCGAGUAGUAGGAGUCUGGGCUCCUCCUCCAGCCUAAGAGGCGGCUGGUGCUACAAGAAGCAAGCCUGCCUGGGUGACACUCUCCAUAAGGCCCACUAGAUAGACCAGAGCAUCUUGGAGUACUGGGGUAGCAAUAAACCCCCUGAGACCUGAGCUGGGCCCACCAAAGCUGUCUGGGUCGGAACCUCAUCAUCAAAGUCAACUUGAGGCUCCGCCGCUAGCGCUGCUGCUUUGGGCUGAGCUGCUACCAGGGGCUCGGGAUGCUGAUCGGUGGAUGCGGAAGCGCAUGUUCUCGCCAUUUGCAGAAGAACAAAGUAGAAAUUCAAUUAGCAUUGAGAAACCAAACUGCACGAUAGGAAAGAAUAAAUGUGAAUUUUUUCCUAACUCUGUAGCCUCUAGGGGAUAAAUACAGACGUCUCCGUACUGAUCCCUCAGACUCUACUAAGCUUGUCCUUGAAUUGUGAGACCUCUGUAACCUAGAGCUCUGAUACCAACUUGUCACGUUCCGGAUUUCCCACCCUUGGGAGUCGAGAUGGCACCUACUCGUGAAAGUUAGGCAACCCGCAUAAUAUAGAAUCACUAACUCUUUAUUUAGCCCUUUUAAAAAUUUAAAUUAACAUGCGAUCAACAGUGAAAUAUUAAUGAUAAAUAAAUACCGGCGGAAGACUUAAUCUAAUAACUUAUCCAUACCAGUACGACAAUACCAACAUAAAUCUCUACCCGGAAUCUGGUGUCACAAUAUCACGAACCAACUACGAAUACUACAUACAACUGUUUGAAAAGAAAGGUAUAAUCUGUCUUUGAAGUAAAUGAAAAUAGAAUACAUAUAAAGAUAGAAGAGAACGCUGGGCCUGCGGACACCUGCAGGACUACCUCGGGAUCUCUAACUGGACUAAAGGCAUCCACCCAAAGCUACGGUCCAAAAGCUGCCGCUCCGGGAUCUACACAUAGUGCAGAGCAUAGUAUCAGCACAACCGACCCUAUGUGUUGGUAAGUGCCUGGCCUAACCCGGGCAAAGUAGUGACGAGACUAGGGCCAGACUACCAAAUGAACCUGUGCAGUUAUAUAAUAUGCAAUAGAAAAUAAAAUAGGAAUAAACAAGUAAAGAUGAGAGGGGGUACAUGCUGCGGGGAAAUAUCAAUACCAAUAGUAAAUUAAGAGAAAAAAAUAAGGAAAAUCUAUAAUUUACAGCAAAACAAUAAGGAACUUGUAACCAAUCCACAAACACUUUGUAUUAUAAAUUAUUGCGGUGCGCAACCUGAUCCCAAAAUAUAAUAAGCGGCGUGCAACUCGAUCAAUAUUACUUAACACUGUUGCGGCGUGCAACCCGAUCCAAUUAUAUCAUUGUUGCGGCGUGCAACCCGAUCCAAGGAUAAUAUUGUUACGACGUGCAACUCGAUCCAGUUAUAAUAUUGUUGCAGCGCACAACCCGAUCCAUAUAUAUAGUUUAACACCAAUCACAACAAGAGUCCCGACAAGGGAUCAAUAAAGAAACAAUACUAUCCCAGCAGAGGAAUCGACAAUAUAAGUAAAUACGUCCCGGCAAGGGAAAAUCAGCUANNNNNNNNNNNNNNNNNNNNNNNNNGAAUUCAUACCCAAUGCUCAAUUAUAGGCUUUCUAUCAUUUUCCCUAAAAAGUCAAAAAUCGACCCCAGGCCCGCUUGGUCAAAACACGAGGUUCAGACCAAAACCCGAUCACCCAUUCACCCACGAGCCCAAAUAUGCAAUUAGUUUCGAAAUCCGACCCCAAAACGAGGUCUAAAUUAAAAUUAUACAAAAAGCCCUAACUCUACCCAAAUCCCUAAUUUUCUACCCUUAAGAACAUGAUUUAGGCCUAGAAAUCUAAUGGGUGUUAAUGGAAAUUGAAGAAAAUGAGUCUAAGAUUACAUACCUAUGAAUUUGUGGUGAAGUUCUCUUUCAAAAAUUGCCCAAUUGGAGUUUGGAAGAAGAAGUUAUGAAAUUUUGAUUUAAUCCCGAGUGUGCUGUUUACUGUUUAAAAAUCGCUGGGCAGGCCUUCAUCGCAUUCGCGAUAGGCCUAUCGCGUUCGCGAUGGGUCAAGCCCAAUUAACCAUCGCGUUCGCGAUACAAGGCUCAUGUUCGCGGAGCUUCAGCCUCCGGAGCCUUAGCAUUCGUGAUUGUGUGGGCGCGUUCGCGUAGAGUAAAAUUCCCCUCCCCCGCCCAGGCCUAAAAGCCUUCGCGUUCGAGAUAGCAGGCCCGCGUUCGCGAAAGGAAACACCCCCAAAGCUUCGCGUUCGGGUCUUGUGUCUCGCAUUCACGUAGAAGGAAGUUUCCUUUAGCCUGGCUUACCCUUCGUGUUCAUGAGAGUCCUUCCGUGAAUGCGAAGAACAACACAGCAGAACACCAGAAACUGAAAACCUACAAUUUUUCCCAAGUUUAAAACCUUUUGAAACCUAUCCAAAAGUCACGCGAGCCCUCGGGGCUCCAAACCAAACAUGCAUACUAACUCAAAAAUGUCAUAUGAGCUUAUCCGUGCGAUCAAAUCGCCAAAUAAUCUCUUAAACAACGAAUUUAGCAUAGAAAUCUAAGAAAAAUCUCAAAAUUUCCAAAGUAUCAAUUUUCACAACUACGGGUCCGAAUCACCUCAAACAACUUCCGUUUCUUACCAAAUUUUACAGACUCAUCUUAAAUCACAUAUAAGACCUGUACCGAGCUCCAGAACCAAAAUACAGGCCCGAUACCAUCAAAUUUUAAACGUAUUUCAUUUCCAAAACUCAUAAAUAAUUCUAGAAAAUAAUUUUUCUUUAAAAUUUCAUUUCUUGGGAUUGGGACCUCGGAAUUCGAUUCCGGGCAUACGCCCAAGUCCCAUAUUUUGCACGAACUUUUCGGGAACUUCAAAUCACGGAUCCGGGUCUGUUUACCCAAAAUGUUGACCGAAGUCAACUUAAAUCCAUUUUAAAGUCAAAAUUCAUCAUUUUCACAGAUUUUUACAUAAUGACUUUUCGACUACGUGCCCGGACUGCGCACGCAAAUCGAAGUGAUGCUGAAAGAGGUUUUUAAGGCCUGAGAACACAUGAUUUAUUUCUACAAUAAGUGAUGACCUUUUGGGUCAUCACAAUUAAAAACUGACCAUAUUCUCCAGGUGAGACCCCUGAACUUAAGGAAAACUAAAGACUAACAACUAUAGAAAACUAGAAACUAACCCUAUUCUCCAGGAGGGACCCAUGGACUUAAGGAAAGCUAAAGAUCAAUAACAUAAAGAAAUUAAAAACUGACCCUAUUUUCCAGGCGGGACCCUGGACUUAAGGAAAGCUAAAGAUUAAUUAAGAAAACUAAACUUGACCCUAUUCUGCAGGAGGGACCCUUGAGCUCAAGUAAAGCUAAAGAUUAACAAUUUAAGAAAACUAAAACUGACCCUAUUCUCCUGACGGGACCCCUGAAAUUAUGAAAAACUAAAGAUUAACUAGUUAAGGAAACUAAAAACUUACCUUAUUCUCAAGGCGGGAUCCCUGAACUAAAGGAAUGCUAAAGAUUAGUAACUUAAGAAAACUUAAAACUGACCCUAUUCUACAGGCGGGACCCCUGAACUAAAGGAAUGCUAAAGAUUAACAAUUUAAGAAAACUAAAAUUGACUCUAUUCUCCAGGCAGGACCCCUGAACUUGAAGAAAGCUAAAGAUUAAUAACUUGAGGACUUCUUCUUCUUUUUUUAAAUCAUUCUAGAAGAAAAUUCAUCAGACUAGGUUUUCUUAUCUUAGGAGAAAGAUUCAUCAGAUUAAGAUUUUUAUCCUAGGAGAAAAUUCUUCAGACUAGGUUGUUGAUCUUAGGAGAAAGAUUCAUCAGACUAAGAUUUUAAUAUCCUAGGAGAAAAUUCAUCAGACUAGGGCUUUUAGCUUAGGAGAAAAAUUCAUUAGACUAAGACUUCUAUCUUAGGAGAAAUUUCAUUAGACUAGGGCUUUUAAAUUUAUUAUCUUAGGAGAAAGAUUCAUCAGACUAAGACUUCUAUCCUAGGAGAAAAUUUAUCAGACUAGGUUUUCUUAUCUUAGGAGAAAGAUUCAUCAGAUUAAAAAUUUUAUACUAGGAGAAAAUUCAUCAGACUAAGAAUUUUUAUCUUAGGAGAAAGAUUCAUCAGACUAAGAUUUUUAUUAGAAGGAAAAUCCAUCAGACUAGGAUGUAUUACCCUAGGAGGGAAAAAAUUUGAAUGGCAAUGGUAAGAUUUUAUGUACACUAGCAAAUAAAGGCAAUGAUUUGAUAAAUUUCCCUUUCUCAGCUCUUCUAUUAUUUUCUUUUUCUUUUUUUUUUGUUUUAAUUUUUUUUAUUUUUUAUCCUUUUUUUUCUUUUCUUUUUCUUUUUUGAACCACUUUCCUUACACUGCUUUGUUCCUGCAUCAAAUAAAGAAAUUUUUUGUGAGUUUUAAAAGUGGUGGCCGGUUUAUGGCCUUGAGUCUUGGGCAGCUUGGCUUUUGAUCAAUCAGUUUGAGUCAGUUUCAAGAGACUUUUGCUCUGCAUCAACCUUGAUUGUUUCACAUCCAGUACCAUUUUUAUUCGUGGCUCAACCAGCCUAUCCCAACUGGAGGUCUUUGCUCAGGUGACCUUUUCUAAUAUCUUGAAUGGCUUCUUGCUUUUUAAGCAAUUUAUUUGUCAGAGAGUGUCACAAAAUAUCUUUGCUUGCACCAAAUAUGCUGACAAGAGUCUUUUUUUGGGGGGGGGGGGGGGNNNNNNNNNNNNNNNNNNNNNNNNNCAUGAAUCCUCAAGGCAUGUUGACUGUAACAACUGAGUGUGCUGACCAAAUUUACUUUGUCCAACUGAAAAGCUGGUAGCAGAUUUUGAAAUACUUUCUUGCUUAUUUUGACAAGGAUCGACUUAGAGUAAAAUGGCACAAUAAUGCAAAGAAAUAGUAUUAACAAGAAAUGCCCCUAUAGGGAAGGACAGAAGGAAGAGUUUUUUUAUUUUUUCAAUAACUAGCCUUAAUGAUCAUGACAUGCAUUUUGGACUUAACGACCAGGUCUACCAAACUAAUCCUAUCUUCCCUUUUGCCAUUCUUAUGACCUUUGAAGUCGGACUUGUUCGUGCUAAUCCUCUGCAUCAGCUUCACGACUCACUUCCGACUAGUGGUGCCCCGAGGGACUUUCACUAACAAGCCUCUCUCAUUUAUUUAUCUCUACUUACCGUCGCCUUACAGUACCUGCGAAGGUUUUCACUAGUAAGACUCUCUCAUUUUUUUUCUCUUUUCUUGAUUCCUUGAGUGAGAACCAUGACCAUGUUCGCAUAUGAUAGCCUUUGCUCAUUAUGGAUUUUCCUUGGCAUUCUCAAAACUGAUCAGAAGGUCUUAUUUGAAAGGCUUUUGGAUAUGGUUAGAAAGAAAGGACGACAUGAAUGCUCAAAGUAGACUCAAUAUGAUGGGUUGUACACUUACAACUCUUGGGAUCGACUAUUUCAAGAAACUAAAACAAACUCAUUCCCCAGUUUAAGAUACUGAAAUAUUUUGGAUUUUUUUCUUCUGAAUUCUUAUUUGGUUGGACUGAAUCGUAUAAGGCUACUUACGUAUCUUUUUUGAAGGAAUCAGGUCAAACAUAGUUCAAACGUCUGACCUAAUUAAUUUUUUUCAUCUUUCUUUUUGUUUCUUUGUCUUUUUUUUCAAAGCAUCUUGCCCCAACUUUUAUAUUCUGGGGGCAUGGACCUUUGAUUGUUCUUUUUUUUUUCUUCUUUAAGUUUCUAAGAGUUGCCCCUGUUUGUACUCUUGGGGCAUGGAUGUAACGACCCGGCCAGUCGUUUCGUGAGUUAUAGCCCGUUCCUAAUUUUUCUGCUUCAUUGGUGUUUUCAGCUACAUUAUGAUAUGUCAGGUUGGUUGGUUCGGGCCUGGAGUGGUUUCAGAGAGGAUUUGAGAAACUUAGUCUCUAAAGUAGAAGCUUAAGUUGAAAAGUCAGCCGGAUGUUGACUUAUGUGGAAAUAAUCUCGAAUUUGAAUUUUGAUGGUUCUGUUAGCUCUGCUAGGUAAUUUUGGGCUUAGGAGCGUGUCUGGAAUGUGUUUUGGAGGUCCGUAGUAGAAUUAGGCUUGAAUUGGCGAAAGUUGAAAAUUUGGCGAUUUUGGUCGGUAGUGCAAAAUGUGAUAUCGGGGUCAGAAUGGAAUUUUGGAAGUUGGAGUAGGUUUGUGGUAUCAUUUGUGACAUGUGUGCAAAAUUUGAGGUCAUUCGGACAUGAUUUGGUAGGUUUUGGCGUCAUUUGCAGAAGUUGGAAGUUUAGAAGUUCUUAGGCUUGAAUCCGAGGGUGAUUUAGUAUUUUGAUGUUGUUUUGAGUGAUUCGAAGGUCGACUAAGUUAGUAUGUGGUCAUAUGACUUGUUUGCAUUCUUGGUUGAGGUCCUGCGGGUCUCAGGUGUGUUUCGGGUAGUUAACGGAUCAAGUUUUGAAAUUUGGAGGAAUUGCUGAAGUUGGACUCAACAGUCAUAACCGCACCUACGGAGUGGGAGCCACAGGUGCGAGCCCGCAGAAGCGGAAAUGUGGCUCCAGAAGCGAAAGGUGGAAGGGCUGGCAGAGUUUGCAGGUGCAAGGGGUUUGCCACACCUGCGAUGGUUGCAGAAGCGGAAGAGAGGGCGCAAGUGCCUGUGUUGGUCCGCAGGUGCGAUGUCAUAUCGGCACCUGUGAUGAUCGCAGAUGCGGUCCUAGGAACUUAAGUGUUUUUCCACAGAUGCAGAGGUUUUUGCACAGAAGCUGCACCGCAUGUGCGCAUUUUGGGCCGCAAGUGCGCAUUUUAGGCCGCAGGUGCGAAAAACCUGGGCAGAACCUAUAAAUAGAAGACUUCGUGAAUUUUUGCUCAUUUCCACCAUUUUUAAACACGGACUUGGAGCUUUUGGUAGUAUUUUUCAAGGGAAUUGAAGGAUAUUCACAGAGGUAAGUUUCUUGAGCUCUAUUAUCUUUAGAUAUGGUAUUUUUCUAUUGAUUUCUCACUUAAUUAGUGGAGUUUUGAAGUGAAAAUUGGGGGUUAGGUCUUGAAAUUUUUGAGAGUGUAAUUUGGGGAUUUGAAGGACCAAAUGAUGUCGGAUUUUGAUGAAAUUAGUAUGGGUAGAUUCCUGAGUGAAUGUGCUUUCUAGUUUUGUGACUUUUUUUGGAUUUCAAGACGUGGGCCCGGAGGGGGAAUUUGAGUCGAUUUCGGGAUUUGAGUCCAAUUAAGUAGUUUUUCUUGUGGAAUUGGUUCAUUGGAAUAUAUUGAUUGAAUUAUAUUACUUUUGGCUAGAGUCGGGAUGUUUGAAGGCCAAUUCUAUAGGCAAAGGCAUCGCGGAGUAGGAUUUUGCUCAGAUUGAGGUAAGUAACGAUUAUAAAUCUAGCCCUCAGCGUAUGAAACUCCGCAUUUUGUGUUGUAUGACAAUUUUUUAGGUGACGCACAUGCUAGGUGAUGUGUGUGUGAGCGUGUACCGGAGGGAUUGUGACUUGGUCCGUCCUGUGAGACUGUGAAAUCGCAUAGCCUUUUAUGGAAAUUGUUACACAUCAUGUUUAGGCCUGGUGUUAUCAUUAUUGAGACUUGUGAGGUCGUGUACUUGCUGAAUUAGCUGCUAAUUGCUAUUUUGUACUCAGUCAUGGCUUUACAUGCUUAUUAUGCCUCUGCCUCUUACUGUUCAUUGUUGAUACAUGAUAUUACCUCUGUUUGGGCUGUUGUAUAUUGUUUCUGAGAGAGCCCAAGGGACUAAGGAGGUAGGUGACUGAGUGAGGCCGAGAGCCUAGCUGUGAGGUCGUUGAUAUUGUAGCACAUGAGUUGUCCGUGUGAAUCCUGAUAUGAUAUUUUAGCACGUGAGUUAUCCGUGCAGAUCCUGUUUAAUAUUAUAUUAUGUGAGUUGUCCGUGCAGAUUAUAGUGCUUGGGCUGAAGGAGCCCCUCCGGAGUCUGCACACCCCCAGUGAGCGCAGAUACCUAUUGAGUGUGAUUAUUUAGGGCUGAGAGCCGAAUGAUUGAGCUGUUGAGAUGAGUUGAGUGACUGAUGCCUUGAGAGGUUAUACUUGUUUUUAUUUAACUGGUGUACCUAGUUUUUAUUUGCCCUUGUUGUAAAAAUUUCUGGAAAACAUGAUUUUUGGAUUACUUGAGAACGAACAGAUGUGACUUAAACCAAUGAAAUUGAAAGCAUGGCUGAUUUUAUUUGAAAGAUAUUGAUAUAACUGUAUUUGUAUAGCUCGUCACUACUUCUCUGUUCCUUAUUUGUUUCUGUUACUUACUGAGUUGGAAGUACCCACAUUACUCCCUGCACCUUGUGUGCAGAUCCAGGUGAGACCGGUCACAGAGGUUGUUGAGCUUAUGCGCAGUUGACUAUCGGAGAUCUACGAGGUAGCUCUCGGCAUCCGCAACCCUUGUCUCUUCUUCCAUUAUUGUCUUUCAUUUUGUUUUAUGGCAUUUGAUAGAUUAUUGUAAACUUUGAUUCAAGUCCGGUUGUAGAUGCUCAUGACUUAGUGACACCCCGAUGUCGGGAUAUCUUUUCUACAUUUCAAUUUUGAGUUGAAUUCUUUUAUGAAGUUUUUAAUAUGAAAAAGCUUUGACUUAUCUUUUAAAUGAAAUAUUGAAGUGUUUGGAAGUGUGUCAGCUUUCCUAGUACCACGAUAGGCGCCAUCAUGACAGGUUAGAGUUUUGGGUUGUGACAAGUUGGUAUUAGAGCCUAGGUUACAUUGGUCUCACGAGUCAUGAGCAUGUUUAGUAGAGUCUUACGGGUCGGUACGGAGACAUUUGUACUUAUCUUCGAGAGGCUGCAGAACCCUUAAGAAACUUAACAUUCUUUAAUUCUUGUCAUGCGAAUUAGUUGAUUCUAGUACCUAAACUCCUAUUAUUCUAUUCUCUCACAGAUGGUGAGGACACGUGCUACCGGUGGUCAGGACGAACAACCACCAGUACCACUAGUUGGAGUCGCGAGAGGUCGAGUUCGUAGUAGAGGCCAUGGUAGAGGCAGGGGUGCAACCCGCUCAGCAGCUAGGGCAGUACCUGUAGAUCCACCAGUUGCCCCAGUACAGGAUCUGGUCCCAAUUGUGGAUGCACCAGCGGGACCAGCUCAAGCACCAGCUACGCCCAUCGUGAUUCCAGGUCUUCAAGAGACCUUGGCUCAAAUUCUGACCGUAGCACCGGUCUUGCUCAGGCGGUCUCUAUUUCAACUACAACAGCCAUUCCCCAAGUUAGGGGAGGCACGUAGACUCCCGGUGCCUACACACCCGAGCAGGUUGUUUAGGGACUUUAAACACCGGGGGCACCACCAGCCCAGCCGGUUGUAGCUACUUAGGGCUAUGUGGUUCCUGCCAUGCAUGAUGAUGAGCAGCAUAAAUUGCAGAGGUUUUGUAGACUUCAGCCUCUAACUUUUAGCGGUGCAUAGGGCGAGGAUGCCUAGGAUUUCUUGGAUAAGUGUAAGAGGAUUCUCCAUACAGUGGGUAUUUUGGAGACUAGUGGGGUCUCGUUCACUACCUUUCAGUUCUCUGGAGCUGCCUUCACUUGGUGGGAGGCUUAUGAGAGGCGUAGGACUGUUGGUGCAAAACCCCUUACCUGGCACCAGUUCUCUAUUCUCUUUCUAGAGAAGUAUGUUUCGUAGUCCCGUAGAGAGGAGUUGCGCAGAUAGUUCGAGCAGUUGCAUCAGGAUGAUAUGACCGUGACACUGUACGAGACGAGAUUUUCUAAGUUACCUCUUCCUGUUGUUUGGUUGGUUCCCGCAGAUAGGAAAAGGAUCAGGAGGUUCGUGGAUGGCCUCGCAUAUCAUCUACGGAUUCUUAUGACUAGAGAGAGGGUGACCAGUGCUACCUUUGAGGAGGUUGUUGACAUUUCCCGAGAGAUAGAGUCAGUUUGCCGCCAGGAGCGAGUUAAGAGGGAGGCCAAGAGGCCUUGAGGAUCAGGUAGUUUUGGUGGCAUUCCUUCUUGGGGUCAGUUCCAUCACGAUAGGGUUCAUCCCUAUAGACAUACUCAGACGACCCAACCAGCUCAUCAUGGUGCGUUAGUCAGCCACAGUCCUCACAUUGCUCACUUAGGCCAGUUUUCAUUCAGGGCACUACUAGCGCAGAGUUUUCACCAUGCCUUGUCUGAUCAGGCUUCUAUGGGUAGUUCCACGGGGCAUCAGAAACAGCAGUUCCAUCAGAAGAGGGGUUGUUUUGAGUGUGGGGAUCUUGGUCAUAUCAAAAGAGAUUGACCUAGGUUGUUGACUGGGACUCCGCAACAGAGUUCUAGGCCAACGGCAUCAGCACCAACAACUACACCACCCGCCCAGCUAGUGCGGGAUGAAGCUCAGUUAGCCAGGAAUUGCCCGAGUGGGGGAGGCCUAUCAGGUGGCGGAUAGGCCCAUUUCUAUGCACUACCUACCAAACUAGAUGCUAUUGCUUCAAAUGCCAUGAUCACAUGUAUUAUCUCAACAUGUCACCGAGAUGCUUUGGUAUUAUUUUACCCUAGCUCUACUUAUUCAGAUGUGUCAUCAGAAUUUUCUCAUUAUUUGGUUACGCCCCGUGAGUCUCUAGUUUCACCUGUUCAUGUAUCUACUCUCGUGGGCAAUACUAUUGUUGUGGACCGCAUAUAUCAGUCCCGUAUGGUGACUAUUGGAGGUCUGGAUACCCGAGUAGACCUUUUGUUGCUUAGUAAGGUCGAUUUUGAUGUGAUAUUAUGUAUAGAUUGGUUGUCUCCAUGUCAUGCCGUUCUAGAUUGUCAUGCUAAGAUGGUGACGUUGGCUAUGCUAGGGUUGCCAUGCAUUGAGUGGUGAGGUUCAUUGGACUAUGUUCCUAGUAGAGUGAUUUCAUUCUUAAAGGCCCAGCGGAUAGUUGGGAAGGGGUGUCUUUCUUAUUUGGCCUUUGUAAGGGAUAUCAAUGCAGAGACUCCUACUAUUGAUUCAGUUCCGGUGGUGAGAGAUUUUCUGGAUGUGUUUCCUGCAGACCUUAUGGGUAUGCCGUUGGAUAGGGAUAUUGACUUCGGUAUUGAUUUGGUACCGGACACUCAGCCCAUUUCUAUUCCACCGUAUCAUACGGCACCGUAUGAGUUGAAGUAGUUGAAGGAGCAGAUUUAGGAGCUGCUUGAGAAUGGAUUUAUUAGGCCUAGUGUGUCACCUUGGGUGCACCUGUUCUGUUUGUGAAGAAGAAGGAUGUCACUAUGAGAAUGUGCAUUGAUUAUAAGCAGUUGAACAAAGUAACAAUCAAGAACAAGUACUCUUUGCCUCGUAUUGAUGAUUUAUUUGACUUGAUUCAGGGAGCAAGGUGUUCUCCAAUAUUAAUUUGAGGUCAGGGUAUCACCAAUUGAAGAUUAGGGACUUGAAUAUUGUUAAGACAGCUUUCAGGACCCGUUGUAGUCAUUAUGAGUUCCUUGUGAUGUAUUUUGGACUGACCAAUGCUCAGUAGCGUUCAUGCAUUCGAUGAACAGUGUGUUCCAGCCUUAUCUCAACUCAUUUGUCAUUGUAUUCAUAGAUGAUAUCCUGGUGUACUCUCGUAUCCAGGAGGAGGAUGCCCAACAUUUGCGGAUUGUGUUAUAACGGUUGAGGGAGGAGAAACUUUAUGCUAGGUUCUCCAAGUGUGAUUUUUGGAUCAGUUUAGUGGCGGUCUUGGGGCACGUGGUGUCUAGUGAGGGUAUUCAGUUUGAUCCGAAGAAGAUAGAGGCGGUCUAGAGUUGACCCAAACCAUCUUUAACUAUAGAGAUUUGUAGCUUUCAUGGUUUGGCAAGUUACUACUGUCGGUUCGUGCAUGGCUUCUCUUCUAUUGCAUCGCCCUUGACCAAAUUGACUCAAAAGGGUGCUCCUUUUAGCUGGUUGGAUGAGUGUGAGGCGAGAUUUCAGAAGCUCAAGACUGCCUUGACCACAACCCAGUGUUAGUUCUGCCAUCAGCUUCUGGUUCAUAUUCGGUAUAUUGUGAUGCUUCUCGAAUCGGUAUUAGAUGUGUUUUGAUGUAGGAGGGUAGAGUGAUUGCUUAUUCUUCUCAUUAGUUGUAGCCCCAUGAGAAGAACUACCAUGUUCAUGAUUUAGAGUUGGCUUCCAUUUUCACGUGUUGAAGAUUUGGAGGCAUUAUCUCUAUGGUGUGUCUUGUGAGGUGUUUAUCGAUAAUCAUAGCCUCCAGAACUUGUUCAAAUAGAAGUAUCUCAAUUUGAGGCAGCGGAGAUGGUUGGAGCUGCUAAAGGACUAUGAUAUUACCAUUUUGUAUCAUCCGGGAAAGACCAAUGUUGUGGCCGAUGCCUUGAGUAGGAAGUCAGUGAGUAUGGGUAGUCUUGCAUUCCUGCCUGUUGGGGAGAGACCUCUUGCAGUUGAUGUUUAGGCUUUGGCCAAUCGGUUUGUGAGAUUGGAUAUUUCGGAGCCCAGUCGGGUCCUCACUGAUGUGGUCUCUUGGUCUUCCUUGUUUGAUCGUAUCGGAGAGUGCCAGUAUGAUGAUCCUUAUUUGCUUGUCCUCAAGGACAAGGUUCUACAUGAUGAUGCCAGGGAUGUAACUAUUGAUGAUGACGGGGUAUUGAGGUGUUACACCCCAUGUUUCCGUACGUGGAAGUACACCAUAAGUAAAUUGAUAUAAGCUAGGAAAUGAGAUGUUACAUUCUGCACUUUCGUACGUUAAAGUUUCGUCGUAAGUUAAUCGACGUAAGUUCGGGAAUGAGAUUAUUUUGGAGAUUAUAAGCAUUAUGGUAUUUCAAACAAGUGAUGAGUAAAUUCGUGAAGGUGAGAGCAUAAGUAAAUCGAAGAAAAUGAAUUUCGUCGAAAUUUGACAUUUUGGGAUAAAGUACGACCCUAGCUAAAAUACCUGAUAUUUAUGUACUAGUACUAUACAAGGUACCACAUGACCAUGAUAGUACGUGUCACGACCCAACUUUCCCUCCGUUUGGGUAUCGUGAUGGCACCUAGUCUUAGGGACUAGGUAAGUCUAACUCAUACUGAAAUACCACAAUAAUAAAUAAAAUUUAACAGUCUUGAAGCAGAAAUCUCUACAAAAUUUAUAAUUCCCAAAACCUGGUAGUACAAGUCAUAAGCUCUAGAGAGUUUCGCUACAACUUCUAAACAUAAUCAUAUGGAAAUAAGUACAAUAGUGUGAAUAUAAAAUAGGAAGGUGACUCUGAAACCUGCAAACGCAACAUCAGGUUUACCUUGAGUCUCCUCGACAAGAAUCCGCUCAGCUACUAACGAUCAAUACCUGGUUCUGCACAAAAAAUGUGUAAAAGUGUAGUAUGAGCACACCACAGUGGUUCCCAGUAAGUAUUAAGACUAACCUCGGUGGAGUAGUGACGAGGAAGAGUCAAGACACCCAUUGGUCUAAUAAGCAGAACAAGCAUAAGUAUCGAAACAACAGAACAUAUUAUCUAUAUAAAGACUACACGAUAUGGCUAACAACACAAUAAUUGCAAUAAGGAAGGAAAUAAGCAAGUAACAACGGAACACCAUGAUAAGAACACAGAAAUGUGAACGAAAAUACAACCAAAAUCUAAAAUAACAAAUACAGCAAAGGCAAGUCAUAACUCAACAAUUACGACAAUUUUUCACAUUUGGUUUUAGCUAGCAAACUUCAAUCGAUCAGUCAAAUCCUUCAAGUGAUAAAAAUGUUUCGAAAUAUACUUUGUUCAAAUAAAUGUUCUUUUCAAAAAUAUUUCUUUCAAAAUAAAUACAUUUUGAGUAUAAUCUUCUCAAAUAAAUAACCUUCGAAUAUAAGUCACCAUGUGACACCUCAUCUUAUAAUCAUACAACACGGGUCUCAAUACCUGAACCCUAACACUUGGCAUCCUGUUCCCUCAUCACACCACAUAAUCAUACUGACAACUCACGUACCAAAUAGAGCCAUUCUCACAUGGAAGAAUAAUAAACAAGGGUGUACGUCUAUACUCGACAAUACCAAGAAGCCUCCAAUCCGAUUAGGGUUCUUAGCCACGUGUAUGCUUGUGCAAGUGUCCUAACAUAGUUCAUACCAGCUAGUGGGUAUAAGGAAUAGUACAAACAACACAUAUAAUGUUUACACAAGGGUAGGAUCAAUGAAAAUAACAACUCAGAACACAGUGAUUUUAACAGGGGAUCUCCCAGGAUAUCGUCCUGUAGUCCCAAAUGUAAAUGUGCAGAGGAUCUCUCGGGAUAUCAUUCUAUAGUCCAAAUCAUAAAAAUAUAGGGGAAUAUCCCGAAAUAUUAAUCCGUAGUCCCAAAGUAAAUAUCUAGUGUAGGGGGAUCUCCCGAAAUAUUGUCCCCUAGUCCCAAUUAUAAAUGUGCAGGGGAAUCUCCCGGAAUACCGAUCUGUAGUCCUAAAGUAAACAUGCAGGGGGAUCUCCUGGAAUACCGUUCCGUAGUCCCAAAGUAAACAUACAAUGCAACCAACAGAAACAACAGUUACAACACAACAGAAAACUUUACACCACCACAAUAUGUAUAACAACAACAAUGACAAUAAUACAAGGUAAGACAAGUAAAUCAACUCAAGGACUGUAAUCACAAGGAAACGGUAGAACUAACUCACAAGGAAUAACCAUAGAAAAGAAUGCUGGCAUAAAGGGAAUAAUUCAACAACGGGAAAACUAACAUAUAGUAAUGUUCCCACAAUAUACAAGUCAAUAACAAGGGAAUCAACACGAGUCAAGUAGUCCCAAAUAAGGGCAUGUCAACAAAGAUAUAGGUUAUCUAAACUCCUUUUAAUGUUGUACAAUUUCGAGGAUAUUCGACAAUUCAAUUAAAUUAAGAUGAUCUUAGCUUUACUUAAGACUAAACAAUUUGAGGAAGGAUAAUAACAAUUCUCAAAUAAGACAAGAAGUUAUGAAAAGAUAGCAUGACAAUAGGAGAGGCAAAAAUUUUCAAUUAAAUCAAACAGGAGUCAGUUAGGCAAUAAGAGUGAAUCAUAAAGCAAUUAAUUCUAAUUAAGCAUGUAGAGGUGAAACUAGUAAAUAGAAAACUCAGUCAUGCCAAGAACACAUUCAUACACAGUGAAUAUAAAGACCUAAGAACCCUAAAAGGCCAAUUUUCCACAAAUAAGUGCGAGCACGCACUCGUCACUUCGCGUACGCGAACUACAAUCAACAUAGAAGACUCAAAUCCUAAGGAAAUGUCCCCCACACAAGGUUAGGCAAGAGACUUACCUCGACUUGCUCCAAUUUAAUCCACUAGUAGGCAUUUUUCCUCGAUUAUCCAAUUUUGAAUGGCUCGAAUCUAGCCAAAAUAAUUCGAUACAGUCAACAAAAUUUAUAGAAUCAUUUUCAUAAGAAAAUACUACAUUUUUCAAUAAAAAUCCAAAAUUAACUCAAAAUUUACCCACGGGACCCACAUCUCGGAAUCUGACGAAAGUCACGGAAUAUGAAAGCCCAUCUAUUCACGAGUCUAACCAUACCAAAAUUACUAAAUUCUGAUAACAAUUCGACCCGCAAAUCUAUCCAAGAAGGUUUUCAAAUUUUUUCAACUUAAAUCACAGAUUAAAUGCUAAAAUUAGUAUUGAUUCGGGUAAUCUAACCAAAAUUAAGUUAAGAACACUUAUCCUCAUUGUUUUCUCUGAAAAUCCCUUGAAACAUCGUCCCACCCGAGCUUCCUUGGUCCAAAAAUGGAAGAAUGGGACGAAUUUGGACUUUAUUCUGCUGCCCAGGAGUUUGUUCUUCGCGUACACGACCCUUCUCUCUCGUUCGCGAUGAAUAAAUUCCUCGUCAGUGAUUUCAAAAGUCAUUCCAGAUAGCCUUUAGUAUAAUGGCCAUAACACUUUGCACGCAACUCCAAAUGACAAAUGGGUUGAUGUUUUAAAAACUAGACACCAAGGGAUAUAGUUUCAUCGGUUGCUAAUUUUCUGAGUCAUUAUAUAUUGCGAGAUAUAAGCUUCCAAAGUCAAAACUGUGCAGUAGAGAUUUUCAAACUCUCCACGGACAGCCUGUAGUGUAACUACCAUAACUUUUCAUACACAAAUCUAAAUGCCAAUUAAUUUACAUUUCUGAAAACAAGACACAAAGGGCUACAAUUUUAGUCUUGGAACAUCACUAAAUUCCUUAUAGAUUGUGAGAUAUCAGCCUCCGAAGUCAGACCAGUGCAACCAAGAUUUCCUUCUUCGCGAACGCGAGAGUCUCUUCACAAACGCUAGAACAAACUUCCUGAAGCCAAAUUCUUUUUCGCGAAUGCGAUAGGCUCCUCGCGAAUGCGAAGAACAACACCAGAUAUCAGAAAAUCAGCGUCCAAGUAGCCCAAAAUGAUCCGAAACACACCCGAGUCCCUCGGGACCCCGUCUAAACACACAAACAAGUCAUAAUAACCUAACACGACUUGCUCAAGGUAUCAAAUCACAUCAAACAAUGCCGAAACAAUGAAUCACAACAUGAAUCUAACUUAUGAACUUUCAAAUCUUCCAUCUCCAAAAACUCGCGCCGAAACCUAUCAAAUCAACCCGGAAUGACGCCAAAUUUUAUAGACAAGUCUAAAAUGACAUAACAGAGCCGCUCUAACUCUCGUAAUCGCAUUCCAACCCCGAUAUUACAAAAGUUAACUAUGGAUCAAACUUUUCCAUUUAUCAAACUUCAACUUUUCCAAUUUUCGUUGAAAUGCCUCAAUUACCCUACGGACCUCCAAAUCUGAAUCCGGACGCAUGCCUAAGUCCAAAAUCAUCAUACAAAUCUGUUGAGAUCACCCAAAACCUAUUACGGAGCCAUUUACUCAAAAGUCAAAUUUCAGUCAAAUUCUUACCGCUUAAACUUCUAAAACUAGAUUCCUUCUUUCAAUUUGACUAUGAAUCAUCCAUUAACUUAAUUCAACCACGCACGCAAGUCAAUACUCAUAUUAUGAAGCUGUUCCAGACCUUACACCGCCGAACAUAGCUUAAUUUCUCAAAUCGACCGGUUGGGUCGUUACAGUACGAUGUAUAAAGUAUGUUAAAGUGAGUAGUAUUUUAAGUAAUUUGAGAUAAUUCUUAAUUAUGUGGAUAAUUGGGUAAUUAAUAAUUUUUGUGGGAGAUUAGUUAAUUAAUUAUUAAUUUUUUGAUAAGUUUAAAAACCCCUAUAUGGCAGCUCACGUAAUGACUAAGGUCCAUACCAAUAUGUGUCUCAAUUAGGGACCUUUAGGGAAGGAUUAGUCAUCCUAAGUGAGGCCCACCUAAAAGUUAAAUAUAACCUUUCUAAUUCACAAAAUAAAAUGCUCAUAUCAACUAAGUUAGGGAGGAAGGCUUCAGCAAAUAUGAAAUUGUUUAAUAACAACGUGAGUAUCUUCAACAUCUCAUACAAAGACUAAUUAAUACUAUAACAACGUGGGGUUUGCGAUUUUAAGGGAGUACGGUGUAAUCUUUCUCAAGAAUAUCAUACAGAUUUAUCCCUACUUUGAUCCGACAUCGCAUGUUGUCGCAAUUGAUAUAUGUUAGAGGGAUUGUCAGGAGAAUCGGCUCAAGUAUGUUAAGGCUAUCCCUUCUUUCCUUUGUGCAUGAUUUAUAUGAUACAAAAGAAAUGAGCAAAUGCAAAACUUCCAUAAAUGACUCUAUUCAUAGAAGUAUUAGAGUUGUCGAUGUUCUUGAUUCCUCAUAUGUCUUAUUAUUUUAUCAUCUGUUCAUGGGUCUCAGAAAAUACGUAAGAUGAUAUAGUUUAUUUCAUGAUAUUAAUCAGAGGCAUAACGAUCUUAUGACAUUUCGAAAGAUUUUAUUGACGUACUUCCCAUGUAUUGCAUUCAUUUAUACAUACACAUUGACCCAUGACUAGAUGACGUUAUAUACACGUAUAUUUGUAUAUAUAUGUAUAUGGGAAAAGGUUACGACGUUAUAUAUGCACCACCACCUGAUCAGCUGGUAUACGUUGAUGAUUUUGCCCACAAUGGCCGAGAUGAUAUGAUGGGAUGCCCUCAAAGGCUUGAUGAUGUUAUAUACACCUAUACCUAUGCAUGACACGACAUUUAUAUGCAUGUGCAUGACAUUAUAAAUGUUUCAAAAUUUACAAAGUUAUUUAUACUUACAGGCGGGAUUCUUUAUUCCAUGUUUCAUCUAUGUCUCAUAUGUACUAAUCUUCAUGCCUUACAUACUCGAUACAUUAUUUGUACUGACGUCUCUUUUGCUAGGAGAUGUUGUGUUUCAUCCCCGCCGGUCCCGAUAGAUAGGAUGAGAGUCCUCCAAGUAGGCUAACAGCUCAGCGGAAGGUGUUGGUGCGCCCCAUUAAUCCGAAGCUGCUUAUUUGGUCAGUAUGAUUAGUACAUGUAUUAAUUGGUAUGGCGAGGCCUUUCCCGACCUUUAUGGUAUUGAUCUACUCUUAGAGGUUUGUAGACAUAUGUCAUGUAUAUCAAAGAUUGUAUGGCCUUGUAGGCCUAUGUUCAGUGUACGAGUGAUCAUUUUGGCCUUAUAGGUCCGUAUGUCAUAUGUAUAAGCUUGUAUUACGUAUUGGGUCGUCAUAAGUUGAGUCUUCCCUCAUAUUUCAUUCUAGUUAUCUCACAGCAGCCUUUCAGUUUCAUUUACCUAUGAUUGUCUGAUAUGAAAGAUAUGUUACGUUAGUACUCGGUUGAGUAAGGUACCAGGUGCCUGUCGCGGCCCAUCGGUUUAGGUCAUGAUAUGAGGAUGCAUGGCCGAUUAUGUGUACCCAAUGUGGAUGGACUACAAGAGUUUAUUCUAGAGGAGGCCCAUAGUUCACGGUAUUCCAUCCAUCCGGGUGCCGCAAAGAUGUAUCAAGAUUUGAGUCAACACUAUUGGUGGAAGAGAAUGAAGAAAGAUGUAGUUGGGUUUGUAGCUUAGUAGCUUAACUAUCAGUAGGUGAAAUAAAAACAUCACAGGUCAGGUGGGUUGCUUCAACAGAUAGAGAUACCUGAGUGGAAGUGGGAGCGGAUCACCAUGGAUUUCGUAGUUGGGCUCCCCCAGACUUCAAGAAAGUUCGUUGCUAUUUGGAUGAAUGUGGAUCGACUGACCAAGUCUGUGCACUUCAUUCCUGUAUGUACUACCUAUUCUUCAGAUUGGUUGGUUGAGAUUUACAUCAGAGAGAUUGUUCUCUUUUAUGGUGUGCCAGCUUCCAUUAUCUCAGACAUAGGCACAUAGUGUACAUUGCAGUUUUGGAGAGCUGUGCAGCAAGUUGGGCACUUAGGUUGAGUUGAGCACAACAUUUCAUCCUCAAACAGACGGACAAUCCGAGCAUACUAUUCAAAUAUUGGAGGACAUGUUACGCGCUUGUGUCAUUGAUUUUGGGUGUUUAUGGGACUAGUUUCUGCCACUCGCGGAGUUUGCUUACAACAACAGUUAUCAGUCGAGCAUUCAAAUGGCUAAGUAUGAGGCUUUAUAUGGGAGGCGGUGUAGAUCUCCGGUAGGUUGGUUUGAGCCGGACAAGGCUAGGCUUUUGGGCACAGACUUGACUAAGGAUGCAUUGGACAAGGUGAAAGGGAUUCAGGAGAGGCUUCACAUAGUGCAGUCAAGGCAAAAGAGCUAUGCUGGCAGGAAGGUUUGUGAUGUGUAUUACAUGGUUGGGGAGAAGGUCUUGUUGAAGGUUUCACCCAUGAAGGGUGUUAUGAGGUUUGGAAAGAAGGGAAAAUUGAGCCCUUGGUUUAUUGGGCCAUUUGAGGUGCUUCUUAAGGUUGGGGAUGUGGCCUAUGAGCUUGCUUUGCCACCCAGCUUAUCGAGUGUCCAUCCAUUUUUUCUAGUUUCUAUGCUCUGGAAGUAUAUCAGCGAUCCAUCUCAUGUUUUGAAUUUCAGCACGGUUCAGUUGGAUGGUAAUUUGACUUAUGAUGUGGAGCUGGUGGCUAUUUUGGAGCGUUAGGUUCAAAAGUUGAGGUCAAAGGAUAUAGCAUCAGUGAAAGUGCAGUGGAGAGGUCAGCCCGUGGAGGAGUCCACUUGGGAGAUCGAGCGGGAGAUGCAGAGUAGAUAUCCACACCUAUUUGAGGCUCCAGGUAUCUUUUAAAUGAAAUAUUGAAGUAUUUGGAAGUGUGUCAGCUUGCCUAGUACCACGAUAGGCGCCAUCACGACAUGUUAGAGUUUUGGGUCAUGACAAUGGAAUUUCCUAUUCAUCAUUUUUUUAAUUUUAUUCAUUCCUUUUUUUUACUUUUAACUCGAAACUUGAUUCCAAAAGAGGGUAGUCAAAGAAAAUAACACAAGCUCAAAAGGGGUAACAAAGGGUAUAAAGUGUUUGGAUAGCAGAAAAAAGGGUCUCCCAGUUUUGAGUACGCAAAACAUAGUAUCCUUUCACGAUCACGACAUUGAUGAACAUGUCUAUCUUCUUGGUGUGUCGUGGUCGAAAGAGACUUUCCAUCCAUAAAUGUCAAACUUUCCAACAAGCUUCAAUUGAUUCUUCCUCAAACCCAACCUUCACAAUGAUUUGAAGGUAAAGAUCAUCAACCUGCACAGGUAUGACUAUUCUAGUUCCACAUAAAUUUUACUCGAGCUUAAUUCCAAAGUGUUUCGACUCUUUUUCAUCCUCAAAAGUGUCUUUUUCUCAGUUAUCCAAUUAAAGACUAAAUCAGUUCUCUAGGAUCUGGCCAAAAAUUCCGCAUGUAUGUCAUGUCAACUAGAAGGAAAACGAUUAAGAACAGAAUGAUACAAAAGGACAAACUGCUUUUCAUUGAUUAAAGGAUGGAAAGGUUGGACAACAAGACAAACAACCUAAAAUCCAAGUUACAACCCUAAAAUAAUCCAGAUAAUGAAAAUAGCAAUAAAACAAACGGACAAGACUCAUACAGACAAUACAGAUGGAUGGAAGGGUUUAACUCAAUAGAACAUAUAAAAUCUAGAUCACAACCCUAAAAUAACCUAGAUAAUAGAAAAAUAUCAAAACAAGCUACCAAGAUUCCUUCCUAGUGAGGGGGAAUGACUUUUCAAUUGCUAAGCUUGACAUUUAGCCACAAAUUUGCUCAUCAGAAUCACCAGGGCCUUCUCCAAUUUCAAUCAGUUUUUCCUGGAUCAUCCUUUCUAUUUCUCUUUUCAAAUCCCGACAGCUUUCAACAUUGUGCCCGUUGGUAGUUGGAAUGAGUAUUCACACCUUUUAGAUGGGNNNNNNNNNNNNNNNNNNNNNNNNNNNNNNNNNNNNNNNNNNNNNNNNNNNNNNNNNNNNNNNNNNNNNNNNNNNNNNNNNNNNNNNNNNNNNNNNNNNNNNNNAUUAUACCCUUGGUUUGUAUGUGGGUUAUAGGGAACUUGAAAAUUUUGUGGAGGUUGGUGGAGAUUUGUGUUGCUCGUGCUUCCCUUCUGGGGUGUUUUGGUGGCUGGACAACAUACUGAGGUGGAGCAACAAAGUAUUGUGGGUUCUGAGGUGGAUAGUAGUGCUCAGGGGAGUCAUGGAAAACCUGACGAGGCUACUCAUACCUUCGAGAUGUUCUCCUAGGACCUCUUAUCGACCUUGAUGCUAUCAUGAUCUCUUCAUCCUUCUCAUUUGUGUAACUAAGAUUAUCAGAUUCAAUCUGUACAGCUUGAGUUGCGGCUUUGAGAACUAGUUGAUUCAUAAUUUUGCCUGUGUUAAGGCCAUUCUCAACUAUUUCCCCAAUUUUGAUUGCUUCCGAGAAGGAUUUGCCAACUGCGGACAUCAUAUUUUGAAAAUAAUCUGGCUCUUAAGCCUAAAGGAAGACAGUGAUUAGCUCGUGGUCAUCUAUGGGUGGCUUAACUUUAGCCACUUUCUCUCUCCAUUUAAUGGUAUAUUCCUUGAAACUUUCAGUUGGUUUCUUCUUUAGGUUUGAAAGGGAAUUGCGGUCUGAGGCGAUGUUGAAGUUGUAUUGGAACUGUUUAGGAGACUACUCCCAUAAGGCUUUCCCCAAAAUAAUCCAUUAGUAAUUCUUCCUUUCCUCCCACACCUCUUAGUUGAUUGCAAUAUCUUUUCAAGUGGGCUUUCGGGUCUCCAUGUCCAUCAUACUUUUCAAAUUUGGGAGUCUUGAAACCAAGUGGCAAACGAACAUCGGGAAACAUACAUAGAUCCUUGAAGGCAAUACUCUUCUGACUUGCUAACCCUUGCAUGUUUUUCAACUGUUGUUCUAAGCUUUUCACUCUUUGGAUCAUUUCUUCUUGUGCCAUCUUUUGGGCAAGCUUCUCAAUCUUUGCAGGAAGAUCAAAUAGGUACGAGUGGUACACAGAAGAGUGGUACUAUUCUUGCUGGGUAGCAAAUUAUAACUCAUGAGUUUUUCUCUGCACCACCGUCGGCUGUGGGAUGGUAAAGACAAGCAUAACAGUAGUGGUUGUCUGAUUGGUUGUUGUGAUACCCAAAAGGUCAUCACUUGUUUUGCAAGUUGAUUCUGUGUUCUGAGGCCUUAAAGACCUCUUUUUCUCUCACCUCGAUUUGCGUACGCAGUCCGGGCGCAUUUUCGGAAAGAUUUUAUGUGAAACCUAAGUAAAAUAAGGAAAUUAGCCUUUAAAAUUAAUUAAAGUUGACUUGGGCAUAUGCCCAGAAUUGAAUUCCGAGGCACCAAGCCCGAGAAAAUAUUUUUUAAAGAAAAUUGUUUGCUGGAAAAUAUAAAGGUUUUUAGAAGUGAAAUGAUGCAUUUUCUUGAAGGUAUCGGGCUCGUAUCUUGGUUCCGGAGCCCGGUACAAGUUUAAAAUAAUAAUUAAGUUGAAUUUGUGAAAUUCGGUAAGAAUCGGAAUUGAUGAUAUUUUGCUGAUUUGAUUGCACGAGCAAGUCUGUAUGAUAUUUUAGACUUGCGUGGAUGUUUGGUUUGGAGACACAAGGGCUCGGGUGAGUUUUGGAUAGGCCACAGAGUGAAUUUAGGCUUAGAAAAUAAUUGUUGCAGGUUCAAAGAAAGUUGCAGGUCUCUGAAACCAGGCUUCGCGAUCCGCAGUGGAGUCUUUGCGACCGCGAUGGGGUCUUCACGACCGCAAUGGGGUUUUAGCGGUUAGCGAUAGGCAAGGCCAUGUCUUCGAAGCCGCGCUAGAUAUUUCGCGGUCCGCGGUCCCUUUUAUGAAUUUAACGGUGAUGGUCUGAGUGGGGUAUAUAUAAACGAGACUUUUCACUUAUUUUUCUUUUUUCAAAAACCUAAAGCAUAAGAGACGAUUUUUCAAGACACUCUUUCUUCCCCAAAACACAAGUAAGUAAUUUUUAACUCAUUUCUUUCACUCCUUAACUUCUUUUUGCAAGAUUUAAUCCUAGAAUCUAGGGUUUUCAUGGUAGAAUUGGGAAUUUUGGGUAAAACUUGGGAAUAUCAAAAUUUGGGGAUUUAAACCUCAAAUUGAGGUCGGAUUCCAAAACCAAUUGUAUAUCCGGGCUCGGGGGUGAAUGGGUAAUCGGGUUUUGGUCCGAAUUUCGGGUUUGACCAAGCGAACCCGUGGUUGAAUUUUAACUUUUUGGGGAAAACACUAGGAAACCUAUUUUCAUGCAUUAGAAUUGGUUUAUUUAGCAUUUAUUAAUGUCAUUAAGUAAAUUGUGACUAGAUACAAGCGAAUUGAAAGUGGAACCAAGAGGUAAAGGGAAAGUUGAGGCUUGAUUGUGUUUGUGGCUUCGAGGUAAGUGUUUCGUCUAACCUUAGCUUGAGGGAAUAGGUAUUAUACCUUAUUUGCUAUGUGAUAGUGUAGUGUACGCCGUAUAGGUGUGGUGACGAGUAUCUAUACGUUGGUGUCAAGCAUGCUCGUGGGUCUUAAAUUGUGAUCGUUGUGUUUCCUAAUGAGUACUACAAAUGCCUAAAUUGUUGAUUAUCCAUGUUGAGCAAGACUUAUGAUUAUCUUCUUGAUAUUUGUUUAUUGUUGAGCAUGUCUCUAGUUGAGGUUCAAUUGGAACGAAGGAUGAUGUCGUGCAUGAUAUUGUGAGAGAGUGUUAAUGCACAAAAGGUGAUGUCGUGCCAAUAUUGUGAGUGUUAAUGCACGAAGGGUGAUGUCGUGCCAUGUUAUUGAGAGUAAAAGCACGAAGGGUGAUGUCGUGCCGUUUUGUUGAUUUAUAUGGUGAGGAUGAGAGUAAAAGUACGAAGGGUGAUGCCGUGCACAUUUUCAUUACUUGAUUGAAUUGGUGAGGAUUUAGAGUAAAAACACGAAGGGUGAUGACGUGCACUUAUUGCCUGUUUGUAAUGAUUUCUUGUUGUUAUGGUUCCAAUACCUUAAUUGUUUAAUUUCGCUAUUACUGUGAUUCUUUAUGUUGGUAUUUUCCCCAUAGAAUGUUACCCCUCCCCCGUUACUUUUGAAUUACUUCCAUUACUGCUAUUCUGCUAGAUACUGUUUAAUUGCAGGUUAUUUGAUUGUUGUGUCCUAGCCUCGUCACUACUUCGAUAAGGUUAGGCUCGACACUUACUUAGUACAUAGGGUCGGUUGUACUGAUGCUACACUCUACACUCUUUUGUACAGAUCCUGGUACAGGAGCAUACAAAUCUUAGUUAAGGGUUGCUGCCUUCAGUCCAUCAGGAGACCCGAGGUAGUCCUGCAGGCAUCCGCAGGCCUUGGCGUCACCUUCCUAUCUAGUUUCUUUAUAUUAUUUACUAUUUCAAAGGCAGACAUGUAUUUAUUUCAUUUAAGCCCUAUUUGUAGUUUUUCUUAGAUAGUCCGUGAGAUUGUGACACCAGUUCUGGGUAGUUUAUGUUUAUGAAUUCGUAAUGGUAUUAGCUUAAUCAUUAAAUUUCAUUCUUCUGCUUUAUUAUUUCCAUUGUUCAUUAUACGUUAGCUUGCAAUUGUUAAGAAUUAAAAAUGAAAAGGGUAAAUUAAUCGGAAUAGUGGAUUUCCUAGCUUUCACUAGUAGGCGUCAUCACGACUCCCGAGGAUGAAAAAUCUGGGCCAUGACAAGUUGGUAUCAGAGCUUUAGGUUGAUUAGGUCUCACAAUUCACGGACAAGCUUGGUAGAGUUUUAGGGAUCGGUACGGAAACGUGUGUGCUUAUCCCUAGAGGCUAUAGAGUUAGGAACAAUUUCACUUCUGUUCUUCUCUGUCGUGAGAUUUGGUUUCUCAAUGAUAAUUGAUCUUUUACUCUGUUCUUUUGCAGAUGGAGAGAACACGUGCUUCUUCAUCCACUGACUAGUAGCUCGAUCCCCCAAAAGCAGCUCCCACGAGGGGCAGACAACGAGGACGAGGCUGUGCUAGCCGAUGCAGGGGCAAAGCUCAGCCUAGAACAACAGCACCAGCGACAGAGCCUCAGGUAGAGUUUGAUGAUGAGGUUCCGGCCUAGACAGUUCUAGUAGGCCAACUCAGGUUGCAGAGGGGUUCAUUGCUUACCCAAUACUCCAGGAUGCUCUAGUCCGUCUAGUGGGCCUUAUGGAGAGUGUCACUUAGGCAGGCUUACUUCCUGUAGCACCAACCGUCUCUUAGGCUGGGGGAGGAGCACAUACUCCCGCUACCCGCACUCUGGAGUAGAUGGCUCCUCAGUUUCAGACUCCAGCAACUCAGCUAGUUGGAGUAGUUCAGCCGCGUGUAGUAGCUCAAGCUGGUGAUAGGAAGCUAUGUCUGCCGAUGCUUUGUGGUGGUUGGACAGGUUCACCAAGCUGUUCACUACUACUUAUGGUGGUACAUCUUCAGAGAAUCCCCAGGAUUACUUAGACAGCUGCUAUGAGGUUCUUUGGAACAUGGGUAUAAUGGAGACCAAUGAGGUCGACUUUGCUGCUUUCCGUCUGUCAGGUUCCGCCAAGACUUGGUGGAGGGAUUAUUGUUUGGCUAGGCCAGCUGGGUCGCUUGCUUUGACUUGGGAUCAGUUCUCUAAGCUAUUUCUGGAGAAGUUUCUUCCUAUCACUCAGAGGGAGGACUAUCAGAGGCAAUUUGAGCGUCUCUAGCAGGGUUCUAUGACCGUCACUCAGUACGAUACCAGAUUCAUUGCCUUGGCCCGUCAUGCUCUUAUCAUACUUCCCACCGAGAGGGAGAGGGUGAGGAGGUUCAUUGAGGGACUCGCUCAGCCAGUUCGAUUGCAGAUGCCUAAAGAGACGGGAGCGAGAUUUCUUUUUAGGAUGCGGCCAAUGUGGCCAAGAGAGUUGAGAUGGUUCUAUUGCAGGGGAGUGGUCAGGGGUCUGACAAGAGGCCCCAUCAUUUGGACAGGUUCAAUGGUGCCUCAUCUGGAGGAAGGGAUUAUUUCGGUAGGGGCCAUCCUCCCAGUCCAUUUCAUUCAGCACUUCAGACUUCUCAUGGUGCUCCAGGUGGCCGUGGUUUUUAUGUGCAGUAUUCUGAUCAGCAGUCCUAACAUUCACCAUCAGCUCCUAUAAGUGCACCUCUGCUCUAGAGUUAUCAUAGUGGUUACUCAGGCUGUUAGGGUCAGUUUCAGGGUCAGCAGCCUCAACAGCCAAAGUCUUGUUAUACAUAUGGUGAUCUGGGUCACAUUGCUAGGUAUUGCCCUUGAGCCUCGAGCAGUUCUCAGCAUCAGGGUUCUUGUGUGAUGAUUCCAGCACCAGGUGUUCCACCGCUCGCUCAACCAACUAGAGGUAGGGGUCGAGGUGUUAGAGGUGGAGGUCAGGCUGUUAGAGGUGGAGGUCAGGCCGUUAGAGGUGGAGGUCAGAUAGCUAGAGGUCGUCCUCGAGAUAUAGUUCAGUGUGGUAGGGCCCAGCCCCGAUGUUAUAAUAUUCUAUCCAGACCCGAGGCUGAGGCCUCCGAUGCAUUUAUCAUAGGUACGGUUUUGGUUUGCAAUAGGGAUGUUUCAUCUCUGUUUUAUCUAGGGUCCACAUAUUCUUAUGUUAUUUUGCCCCUUAUCUGGUUGUGCCUCGUGAUUCUUUGAGUGCUCAUGUAUAUAUGUCUAUACUAGUGGGUAAUUCUAUUGUGGUAUAUCGAGUCUAUCCUUCGUGUGUGGUUAUUAUUGGGGGUCUUGAGACUCAAGUAGAUCUCCUACUUCUCGAUAUGGUGGAUUUUGAUGUCAUUUUGGAGGGAUUGAUUAUCCUUUUAUUAUGCUAUCUUGGACUGUCAUGCCAAGACCGUGACCUUAGCAUUGUCGGGGUUGCUUCGUUUGGAGUGGAGAGGGACUCCUGGUCAUUCUACCAGUAGGGUUAUCUCAUAUAUGAAGGCUCGGCGUAUGGUUGAUAAGGGAUGUUUGGCCUUUUGGCGUAUGUUCGUGAUUCUAGAGCUGAUGUUCCUUCUAUUGAUUUUGUGCCCGUUGUUCGUGAGUUUCCAGAGGUAUUUCUUGUAGACCUAUCGGGUAUGCCGCCCGACCGGUAUAUUGACUUUUUCAUUUAUUUUGCUCUGGGCACUCAACCUAUUUCUAUUACGCCGUAUUGUUUGUCUCUACCAGAGUUGAAAGAAUUGAAAGAACAGUUGCAAGACUUGCUUGAUAAAGACUUUAUUAGACCUAGUGUCUUGCCUUGGGGUGUGCCAGUAUUGUUUGUUAAGAAGGAGGAUGGAUCGAUGAGGAUGUGCAUAGAUUUUCGGUAGUUAAACAAAGUCAUCAUCAAGAACAAGUAUCCAUUGCCGAGGAUUGAUGAUUUAUUUGACCAGCUUCAGGGUGCCAAAGUGUUUUCGAAGAUUUAUUUGAGAUCUGGCUACCAUCAGUUGAGGAUUAGGGUAUCGAUGUCCCUAAGAUAGCCUUUCACACUCGGUACGAGCAUUAUGAGUUCUUAGUGAUGUCAUUCGGGUUGAAAAAUGCCCCAACAACUUCCAUAGAUUGGAUGAACCGAGUGUUCCAGCCUUAUUUGGAUUCCUUCGUGAUUGUCUUCAUUGAUGAUAUUUUGAUCUAUUCCCGUAGCCAGAAGGAGCACGAGCAACAUCUUCGAAUCGUUCUUUAGCCUCUGAGGGAUAGUUAGCUAUAUGCCAAGUUUUCGAAGUGUGAGUUUUGAUUAAGUUUGGUUGCAUUCUUGGGUCAUGUUAUAUUAGUAUAGGGUAUUCAGGUGGAUCCUAAGAAAAUUGAGGCAGUCAAGGACUGACCUAGACCCACAUCAGCUACAGAGAUCCAGAGUUUCUUGGGUUUGGCGGGCUAAAACCGUCGGUUUGUGGAGGGGUUUUCAUCUAUUGCAGCCCAGAUGACUAAGUUGACCAUGAAGGGUGCCCAGUUCAGGUGGUCAGACGAGUGUGAGGCAAGCUUUCAGAAGCUCAAAACAAUUUUUACUACGGCACCGGUGUUGGUUUUGCCCAUAGGUGCAGGGCCAUUUACGGUAUGUUGUGAUGCAUCUUGUAUUGGACUUGGUGAGGUGUUGAUGCAGAAUGACAAGGUUAUUGCAUAUGAUUCGCGACAGUUGAAGAUCCAUGAGAAGAAUUAUCCAUUUCAUGGUUUGGAUCUAGCAGCCAUUGUUCACACGUUGAAGAUUUGGAGGCAUUAUUUAUAUGGUGUGUCGUGUGAGGUGUUCACAGAUCACAAGAGUUUGCAAUACUUGUUCAAGCAGAAGGAGCAAAAUUUGAGGCAGAGGAGGUGGUUGGAGCUGUUGAAAGACUAUGAUAUCACCAUCUUGUAUCAUCCGGGGAAGGUGAAUGUAGUGGCCGAUGCCUUGAGUAGGAAUUCAACCAGUAUGGGCAGCCUUGCGUAUAUUCCAGUCGGUGAGAGACCUCUUGCUUUGAAUGUUCAGGCUUUGGCAAAUCAGUUAGUGAGGUUGGAUGUUUCUAAGCCCAACCGUGUGCUAGCUUGCACAGUCACUCGUUCUUUAUUAUUUGAGUGUAUCAGAGAUCGGCAGUAUGACGAUCCUUAUUUGUUUGUCCUUAGGGACAUGGUGUGGCACGGGGGUGCCAAGUAAGUUACAGUUGGAGACAAUGGAGUUCUAAGGAUGCAGGGUCAUAUUUGUGUGCCUAAUAUGGAUGGAAUUUGUGAGUUGAUUCUAGAGGAGGCCCAUAGUUCCCGGUACUCUAUUUAUCGGGGUACCGCCAAGAUGUAUCAGGACUUGCGGUAACAUUAUUGGUGGAGGAGGAUGAAGAAAGAUAUUGUUGCGUAUGUAGCUCGGUAUUUGAAUUGUCAGCAGGUAAAGUACGAGCAUAAGAGACAUGGUGGUUUAUUUCAGAAGAUUGAGAUUCCUGAGUGGAAGUGGGAGCAUAUUACUAUGGAUUUCAUUACUGGACUCCCACGGACUCAGAAGAAGUUCGAUGCAGUAUGGGUUAUUGUUGAUAGGCUAACCAAGUCGGUGCAUUGCAUUCCUGUGGUAGUUUCCUAUUCUUCGGAGCGGUUGGUUGAGAUUUAUAUUCAGGAGAUUGUUCGUCUUCUUGGUGUGCCAGUGUCUAUAAUUUCUAACCGGGGUACACAGCUUACCUUGCAUAUCUAGAGGGCAAUACAACGUGAGUUGGGUACGUGGGUCGAGUUAAGCACAAUAUUUCAUCCUCAGACGGACGGACAGUCUGAGCGUACUAUUCAGAUCUUGGAGGAUAUGCUUUGAGCUUGUGUUAUUGACUUUGGAGGUUCUUGGGAUCAGCUCUUGCCAUUAGCAGAGUUUGCCUACAGCAACAGUUAUCAGUCGAGCAUUCAGAUGGCUCCCUAUAAGGCAUUAUAUGGUAGGCGGUGUCGGUCGCCGGUUGGGUGGUUUAAGCCGGGAGAGGCUCAGUUGUUGGGUAUAGAUUUAGUUCAGGAUGCCUUGGAUAAGGCUAAUAUCAUUCAGGAUAGGCUUCGUACAUUUCAAUUCAGGCAAAAGAGUUAUGCCGACCGCAAGGUUCGUGAUGUGGCAUUCAUGGUCGGAGAGCGAGUGUUUCUUUGGGUGUCGCCUAUUAAGGGCGUGAUGAGGUUUGGGAACAAGGGCAAGCUAAGCCCAAGAUUCAUUGGCCAUUUUGAGAUUCUUCGUAGAGUAGGAGAGGUGGCUUACAAGCUUGCAUUUCCGCCGGGUUUCUCCGCUGUACAUCCAGUGUUUCAUGUGUCCAUGCUUCGAAAGUAUCACGCCGAUCCAUCCCACGUGUUAGACUUCAGCAUUGUCUAGUUGGACAAUGAUUUGACCUAUGAGGAGGAGCCGAUGGCCAUUCUGGACUGGCAGGUUCAUCAAUUGAGAUCGAUGAGUUAUCCUUCUAUUCGUGCUCAGUGGAGAGGUUAGCCUACCGAGGUAGCUACCUGGGAGUCCAAGUCCGAUAUGCAGAGCCGAUAUCCUCAUCUUUUCCUCAACUCAGGUACUUCUUUUCUAUGUCUGUUCGAGGACGAACAAUUAUUUUAGAUGUGGAGAAUGUGAUAACCCAAAAGGUCAUCACUUGUUUUGCAUGUCGAUUAUGUGUUCCGAGGCCUUGAAGACUUCUUUUUGUCUCACCUCGAUUUGUGUGCAUAGUCCGGGCACGUUUCCGGAAAGCUUUUAUGUGAAAUCUAAGUAAAAUAAGGAAAUUGACCAUUAAAAUUAAUUAAAGAUAACUUUGGUCAAUAUUCAUGGUAAAUGGACCCGGAUCCAUGAUCUGACGGUCUCGUAGGGUCCGUAGUAAAAUAUGGGACUUGGGCGUAUGCCCGGAAUUGAAUUCUGAGGCCCCAAGCCCGAGAAAAGAAUUUUUAAAGAAAAUUAUUUACUGAAAAAUAUAAAGGUUUUUAGAAGUGAAAUGAUUCAUUUUCUUGAAGGUAUCGGACUCGUAUAUUGGUUUCGGAGCCCGGUACACGUUUAAAUAAUAAUUAAGUUGAAUCUGUGAAAUUUGAUAAGAAUCGGAAUUGGCUAGGUAUAAAUCGGACCUAUAUUUGAGAAAAAUGGAAAUUUUAAUGUUCUUGAGUAAUUUUAUGAAAUUGAGGUUUAAUUCAUAGUUAUUGAUGUUAUUUUGAUGAUUUGAUCGCACGAAUAAGUUCGUAUGAUGUUUUUAGACUUGCGUACAUGUUUGGUUUGAAGCCCUGAGGGCUCGGGUGAGUUUUGGAUAGGCCACGGGGUGAAUUUAGGCUUAAAAAAUAAUUGUUGCAGGUUUAGAGAAAGUUGCAGGUCUCUGAAACCAGGCUUCGCGGUCCGCGGUGGAGUCUUUGCGACUGCGGUGGGGUUUUCGUGGUCAGUGAUAAGCAGGGCUAUGUCUUCGCGACCGCGCUCGAUAUUUCGUGGUCCGCGGUGGAGCUCCGUGGUCGUGGUCCCUUUUAUGCGGUCAGUGGUGAGGGUCUGAGAGCGGCAUAUAUAAACAAGACUUUUCAGCCAUUUUUUAUUUUUCAAAAACUUAAAACAUAAGAGGCGAUUUUUCAAGACACUCUUUCUUCCCCAAAACACAAGUAAAUGAUUUUAACUCUUUUCUUUCACUCCUUAACUUCUUUUUACAAGUUUUAAUCCUAGAAUCUAGGAUUUUAAUGGUGGAAUUGAAAUUUUUAGGUAGAACUUAGGAAUAUCGAAAUUUGGGAAUUUAGACCUCAAAUUGAGGUCGGAUUCCAAAAUCAAUAGUAUAUCAGAGCUCGGGGGUGAAUGGGUAAUCAGGCUUUGGUCCGAAUUUCGGGUUUGGACUAAGUGGGUCCGGGUCGAUUUUUAACUUUUUGGGAAAAACACUAGGAAACCUAUUUUCAUGCAUUAGAAUUGGUUUAUUUAUACGUUAGUGUCAAGCAUGCACGUGGGUCUUAAGUUGUGAUCAUUGUGUUUCCUAAUGAGUACUAAAAAUGCCUAAAUUGUUGAUUAUCCAUGUUGAGCAAGACUUAUGAUUAUCUUAUUGAUAUUUGUUUAUUGUUGAGCAAUGGCUGUACUUGAGGUUCAAUUGUGAAGUUAAUUAUUGGUACAAGUUUAGUUAUAGUUGAUUUUCUUGUCGGGACGUAUUCACUCUUACUGUUGAUUCCCUUGACGGGAUGUACUUAUUCUUAUUGUUGAUUCCCUUAUCGGGAUGUUGUUAUUGCUAUUGUUUGGGUGAGGAAAGAGAGAUAAAGCACAAAGGGUGAUGCCGUGCACAUUCAUACUUAUGCAUAUGGUGAGGAAAGAGUGUAAAACACGACGGGUGAUGCCAUGCAUGAUAUUGUGAGAGAGUGUUAAUGCACGAAGAGUAAUGUCGUGCCGAUAUUGUGAGUGUUAAUGUAUGAAGGCUGAUGCCGUGCCAUGUUAUUGAGAGUAAAAGCACAAAGGGUGAUGUCGUGCCGUUUCUUUGAUUUAUAUGGUGAGGAUUAGAGUAAAAACACGAAGGGUGAUGUCGUGCACAUUUUCAUUACUUGAUUUCAUUGGUGAGGAUUGAGUGAAAGCACGAAGGGUGAUGUCGUGCACUUAUUGCCUGUUUUUAUGAUUUCUUGUUGUUAUGGUUCCAAUGCCUUAAUUGUUUUAUUUCACUAUUACUGUGAUUCUUUAUGUUGUUAUUUCCCCCACAGCCUAUUACCCUCCCCCUUACUUUUGAAUUCCUUCUAUUACUGCUAUUCUGCUAGAUACUGUUUAAUUGCAGAUUAUUUGUUNNNNNNNNNNNNNNNNNNNNNNNNNCUAGAGCAAACGGGCCUUAGCUAGGGGUUGCUUCCUUCAGUCCAUCAGGAGACCCGAGGUAGUCCUGCAGGUGUCCGCAGGCCUUGGCAUCCCCUUCCUAUCUAGUUUCUUUUUGUUCUUUACUAUUUCAGAGACAGGCAUGUAUUUAUUUCGUUCAGACCCUAUUUGUAGUUUUUCUUAGAUAGUCCGUGAGAUUGUGACACCAGUUCUGGGUGGUUUAUGUUUAUGAAUUCGUAAUGGUAUUAGCUUAAUCGUUAAAUUUUAUUCUUCAGCUUUAUUAUUUUCGCUGUUCAUUAUAUGUUAACUUGCAAUUGUUAAGAAAUUAAAAAUGAAAAGGGUAAAUUAAUCGGAAUAGUGGCUUGCCUAGCUUUCACUAGUAGGCGCCAUCAUAACUCCCGAGAGUGGAAAAUCCGGGUCGUGACAGUUGUCAGUGGCACACUUUAGGAGUGCACAAUAGAAGUUCCAGCUAUAGUCAUACAGUUGGGAUAAACACUGAACCCGGGUGGAUAUGAUUGAUCAGACAACGAGACCGGAAUGGUAAGAGUCGAAAUGGAUGUCAACUCUAGGAAACCAUGAAUAGAAAAAAGGCGGUCCUUGGCCAUUGGCCCAUGCUUGACAGAUUUUAGUCAUUUACUAUUUCAGUAUUCUAUUUUUCUCAACCAUAGUAGACUCUUGUUGAACCCUCUGACCCCGAGUUUCUUGACCACUCGUAACAGCUUAAAUGUCAUUUGUCAUUAGCAUUUUUCUCUUGGACCUUGUGAAUUAUGGAUGUGUUGCAGCUUACCACAAACCGACCGCCUCAAACUUUCUUCACAAUUCAAAACAAAAGACACAUUAGAAUGGACUCAGUCGGUCCUUAUUAUCAUCACAAUCAUUAUUUUAAAACUUUUUUUAAAAUGGACGAUCGAAUCUGAUGUGGGUUGCCUACGUUUCAUGUGGGAACAUGAAUCAGAUCUUGCAUAGUUCGGGAAGAUCAGGAAUAAAGUAAAUAAACUAACUCUUUUUUUUUGGCUUUUGAAUUUUUUUUAAUUUCCGAAAAAAGACUUAUAAAGAAUAAAGAAUUUUUUUUGGGGUUUCGAUUUGUUUGUUUUCUUCUUCUUUUUUUUAAAGAAUAUUUGAAAAGAAAGACUUCUAAAGAAGAAAGAAAAUAUUUUUGUUUUGAAUUUCAACUUUUUUUCGGAGAAAGACUUCUAAAGAAGGAAAAAGAAUAUAUUUUCGGAUUUUGAUUUGAUUUUCUUUUUCGAAUGAAAGACUUCUAAAAAGAAAGAAAUUAUUUUUGGUAUUAAAUUUUUCUUAUUUGGGAUUUUCUAAGGAAUGAGUUCUAAAUAAGGAAUUAAAGGAAUUUUUUUUUAUUUUUGAAAAUUGGGGUCUAAAAGAAAGACUUUCUAAAGAAGGAAGUAAUGACAAAUAUUUUUGGAUUUUUUUUUGAAAAUUAUGGUCCGGAACCGAUGAGGCUUGCCUUCGUAUCUCACAUUCAGUGAGAACCAGACCCACAAAGUUUGACGUUUUGACACAACCGGAAAAAUAUGAAUUUUGAAAAUAUUGGAAUAUUUUGAAAUGACUUUUCUUUUUCACUUUUUCUUUUCAAGAUUUCGGCAUAGUUUCAGAAUUUUUCAAAUACCUAAAUUUUCAAAGCCAGGUGAACUUUCUCUCUCCUACCUCACUCGUGGUUUUCCUUGAUUUUCUUUCCUUAUUCUAGAAGUCGGUCAACAUGCAAACCGAAACAAAUAAAUGCACAAGUAGCACGUUAAAAUGCAUCAGGAUUAUCUUUUAAUUUGGGUACACCUGUCCUAGACAGACCCAACCCCUAUGUUGAGUCUCCAAAGUCAAAUGCACGUGAUGCAAACAAACGUUCUUACUACGGAUCCGACAUGAGGCUAUGUUAUUCUAAGUUUAAAACCUAGGUGUAUUGUUCUAGACUAGUCUUACCUGAGCGGAUAACUCGAGCCGGAGGGGGGAGGGGGCAGCGUACUAGGAAUACAAAAGCUUCACCGUCUUUACAACUUAUCUGAACCUCGUUCUAAAAUUAGGAUAUGACUCUAACAGAAAAGAAGUCAUGCCAGCGUGCACUUCCCAGAAGAUUUAGAAGACUCAGAGAGAAGAAGGGUUUCGUAACAGUUUUAUAUACAAUUCAAGCAAUAUCAAAGCGGUAAAAAAUGGCAUUUAGCACAUUAGGCUCAAACACGUAAAACAAAUCUGACAAUAAACAAAAGCCAAGUAUAAUAGUUAUUCUAAGUUCGAAUUCUUAACCCUAAACCAAAUAUUCUGGGUUUGCUUCAUAGUGGCGUCAUUAGAGCAGUCAUACCUUCUUUUUCCUGGGGGGAUAUGGUAUUUUUUCAAUCAAAGUGACAUUAUUUGAAAUGUGAUUAUUUAUUUAAUUCAGAAUCUCCACUUGGAAUAAAUUAUGGUGUCCCAAGUCACAGAUUUAUUUUAAAUCCCAAAUCGAGAAAAUUGACUCUAUUUUAAAGUCUGCAAAACUAGAAGACCGGGUAAGGAAUUCUGUUAACCCGGGAGAAGGUGUGAGUCACUACCGAGUUCCGUGAUAUUAGCAUGGUCGCUCAAUUAUCAAUAGUUGGCCUAAUUAUCUGAUUUAAUACAUAUUUAAACAUAUUGUGCAUUUUUGACUUUCUAACAGCUUUUAAUUAAUUAUGGAAACACUUUGAGUAUUUAUGAAAUUUAUUUAAAUAAGUCGUGAUGUUGUGCACUUAUUGUUUUUUAUCACAUUGCGAAUUGCUUCACGUGAAAUGCACCAGCGAUUUACAACAUGUUUAUUUUAUUAUUGUUUGAAGUUGAAAAUCAAGUCACGCGUAUGUGCACCUAAAUUUGGGAUUACGUAUCAUGACUAUGCCACGGGAACCAUAGACAUAUGUAAGGACCCGACCAGUCGUUUUACUUUCUAGAAUCCUGUUCCCCUAAAUGGGACUUCCUUUACUUGCUUUUACUGAUUUAUGACUUGCAGGGAUGGUUAGUUCGGGAUUUGGAGGGGUUCAGUUGAAAUCAGAACACUUGGUUCCUUAAGGUUGGCCUAAAAGGCUAAGUUUGUCUCCAGUCAAUAUUUUGAGUAAAUGACCUCGGAAUUGGGAUUUGACAGUUCCAAUAGGCUCGUAUGAUGAUUUCGGACUUGGGCGUAUGUUCAGAUCGAAUUUUGGUUGACUCGGGAGCAUUUUGGCGCCUAAUAGCAAAAGUUGGUUCUUGAAGGUUUUAGAAGUUCUUUAAAAUUUGGUUUGGAGUGGGUUUUGGUGAUAUCAAGGUCCAAACAGUAUUCCGAGAUAGGAAUAGUUCUGUAAUGUCAUUUAAUACUUGCACGCAAAAUUUUGUGUCAUUCUGAGUGGUAUAAGUACAUUUCGGCGCAUUGAAAGUAAAUUGAAGAACUUGAAGUUCUUAAGUUUGAUUCAAUUGGUUUUAGGGUGUGAUUCUUAGUUAUAAUGUUGUUUCGGGCAUUUCGAGAGUUCGAGAAAAUCCGUUUUAUGAUUCCAAACUUGUAGGUAUGUUGGUUCAGGGCCCCCGGGGCCACAAGUGCCAAUCGGAUGAAGCUCGGACCAAUUUGAGAAUUUGGAGAAACAGCUAAAUGCACCAGGUCUGUGAUAAUCGCACAUGCGCUUGGCCAGUCGCAGGUGCGAGCCAAGCCUCGUAGAAGUGGCCAAGGAAGGGUAGCCCAGGUUCCGUAGAUGCCGUCGAUUCUCCGCAGAAGCAGGUACCCAUUCGCAGAUGCGAUGCCAGACGGCUCAGGCUAUUUCUGUAGAAGUGGACUCUUGUCCGUGGAAGCGAGGGCGCAGCAGCCCUUUGACUGCAUGUGCGGAUAUCGAUGGAGGCAGUGAUCCACAUUUAAUACGAGCCUAGAUCAAUUUUUAUCACAUUUUCUUCCACACUUGGGCGAUUGGAGAGCUUUUAAGGAGGGGAUUUCGAUCUAACUUUGUGAGGUAAGUAAUUUCUACUUAAUGUGAGUUUAAUACAUAGAUUAUGGGUAGAUUUUAACAUGAAAAUUGGUAGAAAUCAGGGGUUUAGAUGAAAAACCUAGGGUUUAAUAAAAAUGAGUUUUUAUCACGAAAAUGAUUAUGGAACUUAGUAAAAAUCAUAUAUUUAUGUUCCUUUGGGUAUGGGUAAUAACUUUCUUCGAACAUUUUCGGAAUUCGGGCAUGUGGGUCCGAGGAUGAAUUUUAGGAAUCUUGCAUUUUGGGUUAGGUUGUCACUUAGAUGGUUAGAAUAUAAACUUUUGAACACAUAUUGAUUAGUUUAUACACUAUUUGAAUAGUUUUGAAUUUGAUCGGCUCUGAUUUGAUGGUUUUAGCGCAUUAUUGAAUUUGGAAGUAGGCUCUGAAAUGAGGUAAGUCUCCUUUCUAACCUUGUAAUAUAGAAACCCCAUAGGUGAAUUAAACAAAUGUGUGUACCUAUUUGUGGGGGCUACGUAUGUUCACGGUGAUGAGAGUCCGUAUGUAGCUACUAUUAUGCUAUUGUACGGGUAGUUUAGGAUCCGUAUCAUGUUUUACUUGAAAUGUUUGCACCUUACUUGCUAGUUCAAUUACUUAAGUCAUUGGAACUUGAUAAAAGAAGCAUAAAAGGUUAAAUUCACUUAAUUGAAAGAUUUAAUGGAAUGCUUGAAUGUAAAUAUGAACUUUGUGUUACCUUUGAAAAUAAAUUGCUAUUUGUGGAUCGGGUCGAACACCGCGGUAGUAAAUGGGUGCAUAUAUGGUUUGCGCUGCUCGACCCUCUGGUAGUGCACAAUUUAAAUAUUAUGUUGGAUCGGGCCGUACGACCUCGGCAUAAUUUGUGCAUGAUAGUUCUUUGGAACUCUCCAUGAUUGUAAUUGCUUAAAUGUAUGUAACUUGUUAAAUGAUAUAACUGAAUUCGAAAUUUAUAUUUGUGAAAGAAGAACUUAUUUUCCUGUUAUUGAGCUUUCAGUAUUAUUCAUGAAAUCCAUGCUUAGUAUAACAUUUUAAUUAUAGUAUUGUUAGCCCAUAGUAAGUGUCAAAGUCGACCCCUCCUCACUACUUCUUCGAGGUUAGACUGGAUACUUACUGGGUACAUGUUGUUUAUGUACUCAUACUAUACUUCUGUACUUAAUUGUACAGGAUCUGAGGCAGGUGCAUCUAGUUACCCGUCCGGCGCACAUAGUUUAUCCCCACCUCGAGACUUCACGGUGAGCUGCCUUCCGAGCCAUUCUACAGUAGCUGGAGUCUCCUUUAUGUUUUAAUUUUCUGUCUAUUUCCUUUCAGACAGUUGGAUAACAUUCUUUUAUAUAUUCUACUAGAUUGCCCACAUACUUGUGACACCAGAUUUUGACGCACACACUAGUAGACUUAUGAUUUUGGGUUUGCUUACAUGAUUUCGUUUUGUACUUAUUACUUCCAUUUAUUUAUGUUACACUUGUAAAUUUCUAAAUCUUUUUAACAAAUAAGGAAAUGUUACUACUUAAUAGUUUAUUUAAACGGGAAAUCACUAGUUGAUCAGUGUUGACUUUCUUAAUAAUGGUGUUGGACACCAUCACGACCUAUAAUGGAAUUGGGUCAUGACAACAUGGUAUUAGAGCACUAGGUUCACGUAGGUUUCACAAGUCAUGGGUAGACUUAAUAGAGUCUUGUGAAUCGGUACGACGACAUCUAUACUUAUCUUCGAAAGGUCGUGGGGUGUUAGGAAACUAUUCUUUAUUAAUCUUCUAUCGUGCAGUUGAAGGUAUACUAAAAUCUCUCUCUUAUUCUCUCACAGAUGGUGAGAACAUACAUCAGAUGUUCCAGACUCGGGAGGAGCUACUCCCCUUAUUGCUAGAGGCCGAGGCAGAGGCUAGGGGAGGGCACCAGCCUGAGGUAGGGGACGAGGACAUCCCAGAGUUGCCCCAGUUGCACCACCAGUGGAUCCAAUAGAGGAUCCCAUUAUUGAGGAGUAGGGCAAGGUGACCGCAACAGCGCCUGCCCCUGUAGAUUUCAUGACAGCACCGGGCUUUCAGGAGGUCAUGGGCCAUAUGCUGUGAUUCAUGAAUUCUAUGACCCAAGCAAGAUUAUUUAUAGCAUACCUAGCCACGUCCCAGUCGGGAGGGGGAGCACAGACCCCUACUGCGCAACCCAUGGGCAUGUAGCUGCAGUGUAUCAGACUCCGGGUACACUACCCGCAGACAGGGCCCAGCCAGUUACUGCCGUUGUACCUGAGCCUAGACCAGCUGCGGAUGUCAAGCUGCAGAAGCUAUCGGACAUAUGGACUAGGCAACACCCUCAUAUCUUGGGGGGUGAGCGAUAUGAGGAUCCCCAAGACAUCAUUGAUCGGUGAAGGGACAGACUACACAACAUGAGGAUAUUGGUCCCUCAUGGAGUGCAUUUCACUACUUUCCAGUUGGAGGGCAAGGCCCGUAGAUGGUGGCAGUCUUAUCAUCUUGACAAACCAGCGGAUUCUCCUCCCAUGACUUGGGCCAGUUCACACAACUUUUCUUGGAUAGGUAUAUUCCACUAUCUGAGAAGAAAGAGUUACGGUAUCAGUUUGAGUAGCUCGAGCAGGGUCAGAUGUCUGUGACCGAUUAAGAGGCGAUCUUUUCUGAGUUGUUUCGCCAUGCACUUAUGAUACUUCCUACUGACGCAGAGAGAUUGCAGAGGUUUUUUUGGGGUUGCACUCUGGUAUUAGGGCUAAUAUGGCCCGAAAGGUUGAGAUAGGGACUUCUUAUCAACUGGUAGUGGAGAUUUAUUGGAGGAUUGAGGGCUACUGUUAGAGGGUUAGAGAGUAGAUGCAUCCGGACAAGAGGACCCAUUUCUCUAGAGAGUUUAGAGAUGCCCCGGCUAGGGGCAAAGGUCAGGUUGGGAGGGGUCAGCCUAACAGGCCCACAUAUUCAGCACCACCACCUCCUUGGGGUGCUCCGGCGCGACCCUAUUUCAGUGCCAUAAUAGAGAGUUCUUACCCCCCACCAACCAUCCGGGGUUUUUCAAGUGGGUACUCAGGCCACCAAGGUUCUUCCAGAUCCUAUUUCACUGCCAUGCCGGAGAGUUCAUACCGCCCACUAGCUAUUUAGGCUUCUUCUAGUGGGUCUUCAGGCCAUCAGGGUCAGACAUUAGGGCAGUAGAUCACCGCACUAAGGGGCUAUUUCGAGUGCGGAGAUUUCAGUCACUUGAGGAGAUUCUACCCCAAGCUUCGGGGCAAGGCAGUGCAGCAGGGCCAACAGUCCAGGAUUACAACACCGGUUGUCCGGCCGCCUAGAGGCGGAGGGCAGGUUGGUAGGGGCCGUCCUAGAGGUGGAGGCCAGGCAGAGGGAGGUCAGCCAGCUACUGUUCAGUCAAGCGGAGGCCAGCUAACUAGUGCUCCAUCCAGAUUCUAUGUUUUUCUGGCCAGACAAGAUGCAUUGGCCUCAAAUACCAUGAUCAUAGGUAUUAUAUCUAUCUGCGAUAGGGAUGAUUUUUCGGUGUUAUUUGAUACAGGAUCUACCUAUUCAUAUGUAUCCUCUCUGUUUUCUCGUUUCAUGGAUAUUCCUCGUGAGUCCUUGGGUACUUUUAUUUAUGUGUCCACUCCUAUGGUUGUGGAUCAGAUCUAUCGGUCCUGUAUGGUCACAUUCUAUGAUUACGAGAUGAGAGCGGUCCUUCUGUUGGUUGAUACGAUAGACUUUGAGGUCAUCUUGGGCAUUGACUAGUUAUCCCCAUAUUACGCCAUCCUUGAUUGUCAUGCCAAGAUUAUUACUUUAGCAAUGCAUAGUUGCCGAGAUUGGAGUGGGAGGGUUCCUUUGUUAGUACAGCUAGUCAAGUCAUCUCUUUUCUAAAGGCUCGACAUAUGGCUGAGAAGGGUUGUUUGGCUUAUCUAGUUUAUGUUCGAGAUACUACUGUAGAGUCUCCAACGACUGAUUCAAUACUAGUAGUCCAGGAAUUUGCCGAUGUGUUUCCUUCUGAACUUUCAAGCAUGCCACCAGAUCGCGAUAUUGAUUUCUUUAUUGAUUUGGCUCCAGACACCCAGCCUAUAUCUAUCCCAUCAUACCGUAUGGCUCCGAAAAAGUUGAAGGAGCAGCUUGAGAAGUUAUUAAAAAGGGGUUCGUCAGGCCAAACAUAUCACUUUGGGGUGCACCAGUGCUAUUUGUGAAGAUGAAAGAUGGGACUAUGCGGAUGUGCAUUAAUUACCGCAAGUUGAACAAGGUUACCAUCAAGAACAAGUACUUGUUGUCGCGUAUUGAUGAUUUGUUUGACUAGUUGCAGGGUGCUAGGGUGUUUUCUAAGAUCUACUUAAGAUCGGGGUACCAUCAAUUGAAGAUUCGGGACUCAGAUGUUCCGAAGACUGCCUUCCGUACUAGAUAUGUCCAGUACGAGUUUCUAGUGAUGUUCUUCGGCUUGACUAAUGCCCUAUGCACGUUUAUGGAUUUGAUGAACCGGGUGUUCAGGCCUUAUGUUGAUUCCUUUGCCAUUGUCUUCAUUUAUGAAAUAUUGAUUUACUCACGUAGCUUGGGGAGCACGAGCAGCAUUUGAGAGUGGUGCUUCAGACAUUGCGAGAACAGAAUCUAUAUGCUAUGUUCUCCAAGUUUGCAUUUUGGCUAGAGUUUGUGGCAUUCUUGGGGCAUGUUGUAUCAAGAGAGGGUAUUAAGGUGGAUCCCAAGAAGAUUGAGACAGUUCAAAGUUGGCCUCAUCCCACUUUGGUGACUAAGAUCAGGAGUUUCCUGGGGUUAACAAGUUAUUAUUGCCGGUUUGUGCAGGGUUUUUCAUCCAUUGCAACACCUUUGACUAGAUUGACCUAAAAGGGUGCUCCGUUUUGUUGGUCCGAUGAUUGUGAGGCGAGCUUUCAGAAGCUCAAGACAGCUUUGACUAUAGCACCAGUUCUAGUGUUGUCUUCUGGUUUGGGGAUGUAUACGAUGUAUUGCGAUGCUUCACGUAUUGGCUUCGGUCGUGUAUUGAUGCAGGAGGGGCGAGUUAUUGCAUAUGAUUUGCGUCAUCUGAAGAUUCAUGAGAAAAAUUACCCUGUGCAAGACAUAGAGUUAGCCGCGAUUAUUCAUGCUCUUAAGAUCUGGAGGCAUUAUCUUUAUGGGGUGUCAUGUGAGGUUUACACUGAUCAUCGCAGCUUACAACAUUUGUUCAAGCAAAGGGAUCUCAAUUUGAGGCAGUGUAGAUGUCUUGAGUUACUUAAGGAUUAUGACAUCACCAUUCUUUAUCAUAUGGGCAAGGCAAAUGUGGUUGCGAAUGCCUUAAGUAGGAAGGCAGAGAGUAUGGGUAGCGUAGCAUUUAUUUCAGUAGAGGAGAGGCCACUAGCUUUGGAAAUUCAGUCCUUGGCUAACAGACUUAUGAGGUUGGACAUUUCAGAGCCCAGCCGAGUUCUUGCAUGUGUUGCUGCCUAGUCUUCACUAUUACAACAGAUCAAGGCUCGACAGUUUGAUGAUCUGCACUUGGCAGUCCUUAGAGAAACGAUACUACAGGGUGGUGCCAAGGAGGUUUCAAUUGGCGAGGAUGGUGUUCUACGACUCCAGGGUCAUCUAUGUGUUCCUAAUAUCGAUGUCUUGAGGGAGAGAUUCUAGAGGAGGUACACAGUUCUCGGUAUUCCAUUCAUCCAGGUGAUACGAAGAUGUAUCAUGACAUGAGGUAGCAUUAUAGGUGGCGACAGAUGAAGAAAUAUAUAGUUGAGUGUGUGUCUAGGUGCCUUAAUUGCCAGCAGGUUAAGUAUGAGCACCAUAGGCCAGGUGGCUUACUCCAGCAGAUGACUAUACUUGAGUGGAAAUGGGAGCGCAUUACUAUGGACUUCGUAGUUUGGUUUCCGCGGGUGUUGCAAAAGUUUGAUGCAGUUUGGGUCAUUGUCGACAGGUUGACCAACUCGGCACACUUCAUUCCGAUUGCAACUACAUAUACUUCGAAGAAGUUGGCCCAGAUUUAUAUUCGGGAGAUAGUUCGGUUGCACGGUAUGCCUGUUUCCAUCAUACCAGAUAGAGGUCCCCAGUUCACUUCACAUUUCUGGAGAGCCGUUCAGAGUAAGUUGGGAACCCGUGUAGAACUCAGCACUACAUUUCACCACAGACUGACGGGCAGUCAGAACAGACAGUUCAGAUAUUAGAGGUCAUGCUCAGGGCAUGUGUGAUUGACUUUGAGGGACAGUGGGAUCAGUUCUUGCUUUUGGCCGAGUUUUCUUACAAUAACAGUUAUCAGUCCAACAUCGAGAUGGCUCCAUUUGAGGCUUUUAUGGUCGGCGAUGUUGUUCUCCUAUUGGGUGGUUUGAGCCCGGCGAGGCUAAGUUAUAUGGUAUCGAUUUGGUGAAGGAUGCCUUGGAAAAGGUAAAGUUGAUUCAGGAGCGACUCUGCAUAGCACAGUCCAGACAGAAGAGUUACGCGGAUCAGAAGAUGCGUGAUAUAUCAUUUAUGGUAGGCGAGAAGGUUCUCUUGAAAGUCUCGCCGAUGAAGGGCAUUAUGAGAUUCCGGAAGAAGGGCAAACUGAGCCCAGGGUUUAUCGGCCCAUUUGAGGUAUUGAGGCGGGUAGGGGAGGUUGCUUAUGAGCUUGCUUUACCUCCCAGCCUAUCAAGGGUUCAUCCGAUAUUUCACGUGUCUAUGCUCCGGAGGUAUCACGCCAACUUGUCACAUGUGUUAGACUUUAGCACUAUUCAGCUAGAUAAGAGCUUGUGUUAUGAGGAGGAGCCAAUUGCCAUUGUUGCUAGACAGGAUCGCCAGUUGAGGUCUAAGAGGAUUUUCGCAGUAAAAGUUCAGUGGAGGGGCCAACCAGUCGAGGAAGUGACCUAUGAGUCCGAGAAGGACAUACGGAGCAGAUAUCCAUACUUAUUCAACACUUUAGGUAUGAAUCUAAACCCGUUCAAGGAUGAACGCUUAUUUAAGAGGUGGAGAACGUAAUGAACCAACCGGUCGUUUUAAUUUCUAGAACCUCGUUCCCCUAAAUGAGACUUCCCGUACUUGCUUUGACACCCCAAACUUGAAGAGGCGUGGCCAACACCCGAUAAUGUACUCAGCUCGAGCGUACCACUCUAUAACUGUGAUUUCUAGAGAGGUAACCCUCAACCUAGGCCGAUGAGGCCAUAUUCUAAAUCAUCUGAAAAUAACAUCUCUCUUAUCUAUGGGGUAAACAUACCUAAAAGAUGAUAUAUAUAACAGUUAAGGCCGAUGAAGCCAAUAUGAACAUCUACUAAUAUAAAAAAUAUACAAGACUCGUCUACAAGCCUCUAGAGAUAGCUGAACUGUAUCAUGAUCGGGACAGGGCCUCAACCUACCCAUCAAACCUGUAUAUAUAAAAUGGACUCCAAGGUCUAGACCUGGUAACUCCGGGGAAGUAGAGCUUACCAACCAAGCUGAUGUUUGGCUCUGUCUACUGGGAAGGUCUAUCCAGCUGUCUAUCAGGACCUGCAUGCAUGAAAUGCAGUGUCCCCAGCAAAUGGACGUUAGUACAAAAUAAUGUACUGAGUAUGUAAGGCAACAGAAUAACUGAAAGUUGAAACUGAACUAAUAAUCUAAUAACUUAAUGUAACUGGGAGUCAAAGAUAAUAUGAAGAUAUGCUUACCUACUGAUACUGAUUCAAGUCUCUCAAUAUAGUAAUUAGUAAAAUAGUUGUCCGGCCUUAUAAGGCUCGGUAUGUGUAACUGCUCUGCCGUAGUAGGCUUGCACAUAAGUGCUUGGCCAUACUAAGCUCUGUAUCUCGUCCAUUCUAGGCUAGAUCAUAGGCGCUCGGCCAUAGUAGGCUCGAUAUAUAACUCACCAUCUGAUCAGAGGUUGCCCAAUAGGGGCCUGCCCAUCGAUUAUAGCUCGAUGAUGGUGAAAAUAUUGUAAUACUAUAUAUAUAUAUAUAUAGACUAUCUGUUCUCUUCACUUAAAGAAAACAAAACUAAACUGAAUAUGAAGUCCCGAUAUGGGAGAAUACUGUAGCUUAUGUUACCAGGAAAAUGUACAUAAAUUCAGGAAUAUGAAUUUCUCUUUAUGUCUCAUUAUCAAACACAUGUAGUUACUGGAUCAUGCCAAAAUGAAAGAAAGAUUUAGCCUUAACAUACUUUAACUUUGUUGAGUCCUUAAUACCUUCCAAGAAAUUCUUCAAACAACUCAAUUAAUUUACCACAACAUAAGGAGAUUCAAAAUCAGUGCUAAGUAAAGGCUAAGUCUGCAACUUAAACUAUUAGCUUGUUUAUGUAAAUUUUGGCAGCGUCUCCCUUGUAACAAGACCCUCCUCCAAUACCAUAUAUCAACAACAGCAAGAACACAAUAAUAACAACUUGUAUUCAUAUUGUUCCAACCUUAUCUCCAUCUCAAUAUACCACAAAAUAGCCCACAUACCCUAAUUACUUCAAACAUAAAACGACAACCAAAGUAGUGUCAAACAACCUAAAAAUGUAACGACGAACGACCAGUCAACCACCCUACUAUUAUGUGGUGUUUCUCCACACCCUUUCUCCCCCCAAACUCCAUAAAAUUAGUAGAAAAAUAGACAACCCAACAGCAACACGAAACAGCCCAGAAAACAGUCCCACAAGUUCAACAACUCAAAAUUGAUUUUUCAGUUUACAAAAACAUGUUUCAAAAUGUACUGUUCCGAGAUACAGAGCCUAGUAUGGCCAAGUGGAUAUGAGUGAGCCAACUACGGUAGAGCAGUUACACAUACCAAGCCUUAUAAGGCCGGACAACUACUUUACUUACUAUAUGGAGAGAUUUGAAUCAGUAUUAGUAGGUAAGCAUAUCUUCAGAUUAUCUUUGACUCCCAGUUCCAUUAAGUUAUUAUAUUAUUAGUUCAGUUUCAGCUUUCAGUUAUUCUGUUGUCUUACAUACUUAAUACAUUAUUUCAUAUUGACGUUCCUUUGCUAGGGACACUACAUUUCAUGCCUGCAUGUCCUGAUAGACAGUUGGAUAGGCCUUCCCAGUAGAAAGAGCUAAACAUCAGCUUGUUUGGUAAGCUCCACUUCCCUGGAGUUACCAGGUCUAGAUCUUGGAGUCCAUUUUAUAUAUACAAGUUUAAUGGGUAGGUCGAGGCCCUGUCCCGACCAUGAUACCGUUCAGCUAUCUCUAAAGGCUUGUAGACGUGUCCUAUAUAUUUUUUAUAUCAGUAGAUGUUCAUGGCGGCUUCAUUGGCCUGCUCAAUUAUAUAUAUCAGCUUUUGGGUAUGUUUGCCCCAUAGAUAAGAGAGAUGUUAUUUUCAGAUGAUUCAGAAUAUGGCGUCAUCGGCCUAGGUUGAGGGUUAUCUCUCCAGAAAUCAUAGUUACAGAAUGGUAUGCUCGGGCCGAGUACAACACCAGGUGCCAGCCACGCCUCUCCAAGCUUGGGGCAUGACAUGUUUUUACUGAUUUAUGGCUUGCGGGGAUGGUUAGUUCGUGAUUUAGAGGGGUUCGGGGUGAAAUCAGAACACUUGGUUCCUUAAUUUGGCCUAAAAGGCCAAGUUUGACUUUGGUCAUAUUUUGAGUAAACGACCUCGGAAUUAGGAUUUGACGGUUCCAAUAGGUUCGUAUGAUGAUUUUGGACUUGGACGUAUAUUCGGAUCGGGUUUUGGAUGACCUGGGAGCAUUUUGGUGCCUAAUAGCGGAAGUUGGUUCUUGAAGGUUUUAAAAGUUCUUUAAAAUUUGGUUUGGAGCGGGUUUCAGUGAUAUGGAGGUCCAAACGGAAUUCUGAGAUCGGAAAUAGUUCUGUAAUAUCAUUUAAGACUUGCACGUAAAAUUUGGUGUCAUUCUGGGUGGUAUAAAUAUGUUUCGAUGCAUUGGAAGUAAAUUGAAGAACUUGAAGAUCUUAAGUUUGAUUCAAUUGGUUUUAGGUUAUGAUUCUUAGCUUUAACGUUGUUUCGGGCGUUCCGAGAGUUCGAGCGAGUCCGUUUUAUGAUUCCAAACUUGUUGGUAUGUUCGGUCGGGGCCCUAGGGGCCUCGAGUGCCAAUCUGACGAGGCUCAGACCAAGUUGAGAAUUUGGAGUAACAGUUGAAUGCACCAGGUCUGUCAUAAUCGCACCUGCACUUGGCUAACUGCAGGUGCGAGCCAAGCCUCGCAGAAGCUGCGAAGGAAGGGCUGACAAGGAAGGGUAGCCCAGGUUCUGCAGAUGCGGCCCAUCCUCCAUAGAAGUGGGGCCGCAGAAGCGGUCACCCGUCCGUAGAUGCAACACCAGCCGGCCCAGGCUAUUUUUGCAAAAGCGGACUCUUGUCCGCAGAAGCGAGGGCGUAGAUGCAGCCCUUUGACCGCAGGUGCAGAAAUCACCGGAGGCAGUGAGCCUCAUUUAAUACAGGCUUAGGCCAAUUUUAUCAUAUUUUCUUCCACACUUGGGCAAUUGGAGAGCUUUUAAGGAGGGAAUUUUGACCUAACUUUGUGAGGUAAGUAAUUUUAUUUAAUGUGAGUUUAAUACAUAGAUUAUGAGUAGAUUUUAAUAUAAACAUUGAUAGAAAUCAUGGGUUUAGAUGAAAAUCCUAGGGUUUAAUAAAAAUGAGAUUUUACCACAAAAAUAAUUAUGGAAUUUAGGAAAAAUCAUAUAUAUUUAUGUUCCUUAGAGUAUGGGUAACAACUUUCUUCGAACAUUUUUAAAAUUCAGGCACGUGGACCUGUGGUGAAUUUUAUAAAUCUUGCAUUUUAGGUUGGGUAGUCACUUAGAUAUUUAGAAUAUAAAUUUUUGAACACAUAUUGAUUAGUUUUUACAUUAUUUGAAUAGUUUUGAAUUUGCUCGGCUCCGAUUUGAGGGUUUGAGCACAUUCUUAAAUUUGGAAUUAGGUCGUGAGACGAAGUAAGUCUCCUUUCUAACCUUAUAAGAGAGAACUAACCUUAUAGGUGAAUUAAAUAAAUGUGUGUACCUAUUUGUGGGGGCUACGUACGUACGAGGUGACGAGAGUCCGUACGUAGCUACUAUUAUGGUAUUGUCCGGGUAGUUUAGGUCCCGUAUCAUGCUUUACUUGAAAUGUUUGCGCCCUUACUUGCUAAUUCAAUUACUUAAGUCGCCAGAACUUGAUCAAAGAAGCGUAAAAGGUUAAAUUCACUUACUUGAAAUAUUUAAUGGAAUUCUUGACUGUAAAUGUGAACUUUGUGUUUCCUUUGAAAAUAAAUAGCUAUUUGUGGAUCGGGCCGAACGCCUCGGUAGUAAAUAGAUGCAACUAUGGUUCGCGUCGUUCGACCCUCCGGUAGUGCACAGUUUAAUUAUGGUGAAUUAGGUCGUACGACCUCGGCAUAAUUUGUGCAUGAUAGUUCUUUGGAACUCUCCAUAAUUGUAAUUGCUUAAAUGCCUUGAAAUUUAAGUUGUUAAAUGAUAUAACUGACUUCGAACUUGUGAAAGAAGAACUUAACAUUUCCUGUUUUUGAGCUUUCAAUAUUAUUCCUGAAAUCCACGCUUAGUAUAACACUUUAAUUAUAGUAUUGUUAGCCCAUAGUAAGUGUCAAAGUCGACCCCUCGUCACUACUUCUUCGAGGUUAGACUGGAUACUUACUAGGUACAUGUUGUCUAUGUACUCAUACUACACUUUUGUACUUAAUUGUACAGGAUGUGAGGCAGGUGCAUCUAGUUACCCGUCCGAUGCGCAUAGUUGAUCCCACCUCGAGACUUCACAGUGAGUUGCCUUCCGAGUCGUUCUGCAGCAGCUGGAGUCUCCCUUAUGUUUUACUUUUCUGUCUAUUUCCUUUCACACAGUAGGCUAGCAUUCUUUUGUAUAUUCUACUAGAUUGCCCACACACUUGUGAUACCAGGUCUUGGCACACAUACUAGUACACUUAUGAUUUUGGGUUUGCUUAUAUGAUUUCAAUUUGUACUUAUUGCUUCAGUUUAUUUAUGUUACACUUGCAAAUUUCUAAAUCUAUUUAAGAAAUAAGGAAAUGUUACUACCUAAAAGUUUAUUUAAACAGGAAACCACUAGUUGAUCCGUGUUGUAUUGCCUGACAAUGAUGUUGGGUGCCAUCACGCCUAUAAUGGAAUUGGGUCGUGACAUCAUAGUCAUAAUAAUUUAUUUAAUUAAUGCGUCUAAAGCAAGCUACAAUAUUAUUGUGUUGUUCAUUUCCUAAAUUAUUUUGAGAUUAAUGCGAUGCCAAAUUUAUGGACAAAACAUUAUUAGGGAGUAAAUAGGAUAUCUAACAUGAUCUAUUAUGGCCCAUUCUUAUUCCUUGCAGAAAAAAAACAACUCCAAUUUUUCCAUCUAUCCAAUUUAACAAGUCACUUAAAUCACCAAUUCAACAGGCUAAAACAAAGGCAACAUAAUGUAACCAUAUAAGUAAGAAAACUAAAUUAGAGUCCAUAGUGUAUUUAACAGAAAUCGUCCAACCAAAACUUACAUGUAUUCAACCGAAUUAAUCUUUAAAACCAAUAUAUAGCCCAAAUAAUAUGUAAUAAGUACACAAUUAAUACGAAGAGAUCAAGUAGUUUUCAUAGAGCAAAUGGAAUUUGUCACGAGCAAAUAGAAACACUAAUAUAUCAAAGCCAGUGUAUACUUAAAGUGUAAAUAAAUACUGAGAAAAAUGAAUUCGAAUGAACCUAUAUAUUGAUAAAUAAAGCUGAAAAUUUGCAACUCAGUCGGAAUAACAAAGCAACAAUCAUUGGACUGAAACGCCGAAAUUGCAAACCGAAAAACUGGAAACCAAAAUGAAAGGCAAAAAGUGCCGCACCCAAACUGAUAAAAAGAACAACAGAAGCAGUUGUUUGAUAGAGAAAUUCGCCGGACACUAGAAAUGUUUUCGAUUCUGGUGAACAAGCACGCCGAUGGCCCAAAUGUUUUUUUUUACUUUGAUAGAGUCUGUAUUUAUCCCUUACGACCCUCCUCCCUGUUUUUCAGCAAUGGCUUCCUUGGAGAAUUGUGCUCUAAUUCAGUGGAGUCAACAUAUUUCCUUGUUGGCUUUUCAUUAAUCAAAGACACUUUUGACAGAUUCUUUUCCAUUUUUCUUGUGUCCGAUUCAUAUCUGUUUCUUGGGUGAGUGUGUUGUGGCUAAUUUCUCUUGUGAAGAAGGGGUGGGGGUGCUGAAGCUUAGAGGAAUUACAGGGGAGUGGCCGAUUUUUGAGUUCUGCUGAAUGGUCCAAAGAGAUCCUCUUUUGGGUUGGGUUGGGGGAGGGUCGGUGGCUGCUCUAGAGUCUUAAAGAUUAGUUUUAAUUUGUGUUAUAUAAGGG